rnacentral:lncRNA from 1 species
UCAAUCAAUCUGAUCUCCUAGGUCUCCCAAUCAAUCUCCCAGGACUCCCAGGUCUCCCAGGACUCCCAGGCCUCCCAGGCCUCCCAGGACUUCCAAUAUCCCUUGCUGCUGAAAAAACUUCAUCUAAGUCCUCCAACUCCAAAACUUCAAAGAAUGGGCAACUAGGUGAUAAUAGAGAAGUAGCCCAUCCAGAUUCUCCACCAGCAGGUUCAGCACCAUGAUUCCCAACCUGCCACCUAUCCUGGUUUCUGUUGGGUUCCUAUCCUAUUGGGCGUAACCCGUUUAAGUAUAAUAAGCCCAUUUAGGUCUUCUGAGUUGUGGUUUCCUGAACUUCUAUGUAUAUGGUCUCUUCCUUCUCCUUGAGAACUAUGUGAAAUAUUAAGAGAACUAUGUGAAAUAUUGAAUAUUUAAGUUUUAUCUUCUUUUCCCAUUUUCUCUGUAAUUUUCCCUCUUUCUUCUCUAACGAGAAUGUGUCAUGCAUAGACAGCUAGUCAGCUACGAGUACGGUAAUAUAAUACGAUUCAAUUAUUAGUUAAAUACAAUGAUUAUCGUUGAAACUCAAAAUUUCAGGACAAGGGAGUCGCAUGGAUUCAGAUAUAAAAAUUAUAUAUAUAUAUAUAUAUAUAUAUAUAUAUAUAUAUAUAUAUAUAUAUAUAUAUAUAUAUAUAGGGAAUUGUUAUUGGCACUUCAAAAAUCUCAUUCUACACUCCAAAUUUUCUAUGUUUGGAAAGAAAAAAACAUUUGUGAGGUGUGUAGAAUUAGAUUUUUGGAGUGACAAUAACAAUUCCCUAUAUAUAUAUAAAUUAUUAUUGAAUAUUACCCAAGGAUGAAAUAUGUGAUGUUUAUUAACUAAUGAAAUGUGCUUGAAAACUUUGAGUUUUAAUGAUAAGGACAAAAUAAAGGGUAAAGUGAAUAGUACCAGGAUUGACUUUUUAAUGUAAAAAUGUAGUUUUUCGUUAAAAUGAACAGUACCAGGAACUUUUCGUUAAAGUUCCCUUAUUAAUAAGCAUUUUAGGAAUAUCUCUGACUAUGUUUAUUAACAAUUCCCUAUUAUUGAAUAUUAUUGAAUAUAACCUUUUUCAUCCUUGGGUAAUAUUCAAUAAUAAUUUAUAUAUAUAAUAUUAUAAUAAUUUAUAUAUAUAUAUAUAUAUAUAUAUAUAUAUAUAUAUAUAUAUAUAUAUAUAUAUAGGGAAUUGUUAUUGUCACUCCAAAAAUCUAAUUCAGGGACGUCGUCGUUCUGUAAAUUAUUAAACCAUUCAAAUAUGCGAUGUUUAUUAAUAAGCAUUUUAGGAAUAUCUCUGACUAUGUUUUUAGAUUAACAUGCGCUUAGCAACAGAAAAUUGUCAUGGAGAAGCGGUUGCCCAAACUUAAGGCUGCAAUUUUGAGUGCUCAGAAGUGCUUGGAAGAUUGCAACUAUGUUAGGGGAUUGGUGAGUGACCAUCAUACGCGGAGUUGUUCUGCAUUUUUUAGUUGUACAGUAGUUGUAUAGACAGUCCAUUUUUCUACGUUAGCAGUACAAUUUCUUUUUGUUUUCAUCUUGUUUUUCCUCUCUUUAAUUGUCUGAACUGCAAUACGUUUCUGCAGCUUGAUGAAUGGUGGGACUCCCACCCACCAUAACCGUUGCUCAUCCCUAGAUAGGAGCAACCAGCAACAAUUGUUGUUGACUGGGUCUGAGUCGAUGGAUUAAAUGUUGCUGCCUGGCAUGAUCAUGUGAAGCAGCUCCUUGAAUUUUAUGAUCAGGAGCACUUGUGAGUAUUAUUCGAGUACUCAGCAAACAAGAUUUUAUGGGGAUCUAACUGGUCUUCCUGUUGGCAGUCCCACAUUGAUGGGGGAAGUCAACAAGGGUGGCUAUAAAUAUGAUUACGCUACUCUAACUAAUACCAAGGUUUUUUUUGGUAAAACCCCACACUUGACGGAUUGGGCAGGUGAUAAAGUUGGGGACUGUAUCGGUCUUAUUAGAGUGGCCAGUUGGGGACUCUAUAGGUCUUGUUAGAGUGGUCCCUGGGUCCGUCGAUCUCUACGAAGCCCCUUGUUUCAUUCAUUCUCGCAUUGCUAAAAACACAUUUUCAUUCAUUCUCGCAUCGUUAAAAACACCUACAAAGGCUUGGUAGAAACUCAAGCUCGACUUUAUGCUUGGAAGGUGAAUUCAUUAUCUCUGGCUGGUCGCGCCACUUUUGUUCAGUCUAUGACCUCCGCUGUCCAGUAUAUGCUUUGCAGACAAUAUUACCAAUUACCAUUACAGAUAACCCCGAGUGUCAAAGAUUUUCCCAAGGCAAGAGAAGUUUGGCAAAAGUUGGAAAGUAUAACCAAUAGUCAGACCACAUUAAUUUUCAUGAUUGGCUUCAUUUUAAUUUCACCACUAAAUCACUCAUAUUGGGGGGUUUAGAGUAGAUGUUAGUAUUUUCUGUUGCUUGUUGGUUUAUUUGGUAUUGGCGAAAUACAUUUAUUUUCGAGCAAGAUUUUGCAAUGUUAGAUGAGCCUACCGUCGAUAUUUGUGCAUAUUUUCAUGAAUUGUUAGCCUUCUAAUACUCACAAAAUUGAUAAAUGCCGAAAGACUGAAUCUUUGCUCCACUGGGAAGCUCUUCAUUCAAAAUUGAUUUACACUUGAUGGAAAAUAAUGCUCCUUACAUAACUAACCGGCAGCCGUGCCGGAGGCAAUGUGUGUAUGGAAUCAUAUACUGAGGAUAUUGUCACUUCUAUGUUACGAUUUGAGGAGAGAAAGGCGGAGUAGGGAAGCCGGCCGAGAGGAACAGCUCCUGAUCUUAAGAAGGAUAUGUUGUAUCAUAAACUUAUAACUUGGUCCCUUAUUGAAUGAAAGGGCAGGCUUCUGCUUUGAAUAAUACCACUUCAGACUUCAGUCCAAUUAUGUCUUCCUGUUCUGAAAAUUGACAACUCCAUGUGAUAACAAAACAUCUCAUGUAUUAUUGUACGGUUGAAAAUUGCUGCUUUACACUAUACAUUUAACGUGAUUAGAAAUUCCAUGAAAAUUUACAAACAAUACCAGGGAUGUGUCAUAGGCUGAAAAGGAGUAAGGAUGUUUGUACAUAGGCUGAAAAGGAGUAGGGAUGUUUGUACGUUCCUUCCCCACAGCAAAACCACAUAGCAAAAGGAUUACAAACACAGCUAACAAAUCAAUAAACACAAAAUCAUCAUUAGGUCAACGAUCAUAUGAUUAUAUCAGAUGCACGUCAAUUAAAUAAUUCUCAUGUUCAACUAAGGUCACUAAAAGCCCCCUAUUUGGCCUAAUUAGAUAUGGUCUUCGUGGUGAUAGGAUAUUUGUAAUAUAGCUCAUGACUUAAAAAAAAAAAUUCGGAUUUAAACCCUUGUGGUGAUAGGGUAUUUAGAAGACAAUCCAUUUCUAUUGAGCCACAAUGAAGGGAGUGCAGAAAUUCACAGUUUUGUUUUUGGGAUUAACAAAGAAAUAACAGAAAUUUGGUUUUUGGGCUUAAAUCACAACGGACUUCACCACAAGAAUAUAAAUCUGAUUUUUUUUACCACAUGGGCUAUCUUCCGAAUACUCUAUCAUCACGAGGACUAUUUAUACAAUUAGGUCAAUGUUUUUUUAAGGUGAAUAUCACAUGCUAAAACGGAGAAGGAUUCUCUCAUCUUCUAAUCUCUCUCCCAUUCCCUCCUCUCCUACUUGAACAAUUAUGAUUAAGUUAUGUCAAUAUUUUAUAUUGAUAUUUUUAUAAAGAUAAUAAGACAAAAAACAAUGUGUUGAUGCACAAAAUCAGCGAGGACUUUGGUACAACAGAAAGUGUCAGGUUUGUGACAUUCGCUUGGUUGCUUCGAUCACUAGUGAAGAUAAGUACGUAAAUGAAUAGGGACAGGGAAGCAAACACAAGAUGUACGUGGUUCACCCAAAUCGACUACGUCCACGGAGUAGAGGAGUUCUCAUUAAUUGUGAAGGGUUUACACAAAUACAUAGGUUCAAGCUCUCAUUUUUUGAGUUCUAGUGAAUAGUUUAGUACAAAAUGACAUUAGAUAUUAUUGUGGGAGAAUGAUCCCUAUUUAUAGAAGAAAGUUUCUAGUUUUGUUCUAACAUUGACACGUGUCGUGUUGUGAUUGGCUUCUGAUGUUGACACGUGUCGCGCUGUGAUUGGCUUCUGAUGUCGACACGUGUUGCAUUGUGAUUGGCCUCCUGGUUGAAGGGAAGCUCUUCUGGGUCCUUGACGUAUAACGUUGACCGGUGCUCAGUAGUUUCGGGAUUGGUCAAGUAUGGUACAAACAGUGCUCCCCUAAGUUCCCGAGUGAGGGAAGCUCCUCGGUUGGGGACUUGCAAGAUCCAAGCCACUGAGUAAUCACGAAACUUCUAAGUACCGAAGUGUGGUAUCAUUUUCACGCGCCUUAUCUGUCUCAUAUGUAGAUGUGGCAUCUUCUUUGGAAGUACUUUUCCUUCAUCCAUGGGUGGUAUCUUUAACCGAUGAAGAUGCACAAGGUAAUGUAUCAAUUUCACUUGAAGCUUACUUAUAGUUUCGGGCUUGGUCAAGUGCGAUACAAACCCUAUAGUAGGAGUCCCCCAAGUCGCCGAGCUAGGAGAUCUGCCGAAAGAGGUGACAGACAAGGUAAGCAGUCAAACUUCCAAGCAAGCAACCCAGGAUCAGAGGUUCGACUUCGGCUUCCGGUUGAUUGUUCUCCUUCUCCUUGUCUCUCAUUCAGCUGCCGGGAUAAGGAGAGGCAAAUGGAGAAGAGAUGAUAUGAGAUACUUUUGCUUUUGAAGAAGUAACUUUCCACAGGCUUAUUCUUGAACUGUGCUGGAGGGUUUUCUGGUUCCCUUCAGAGUAUAAGGCCGACUCAAGAAUUUGAGGGUCAAAACAAGUCCAUCAAAUCUAGAGUACGUUCGACCUUGAUGAUAUGGGAUACUUUUGCUGUUGACGGAAUAGUGAAUGUGGUAUGGAAAAGUGUCGUGCUGUAGUGAUCUGUUUCAGCUCACCGUUAAACCUUCUGCUUUAAUCUUUUGCAUGGCAGAAGUGGUGUGCAACCUUUGCAUUUAAAUGGUCCUUCAGAACAUUCCUUCAUAGUGACUCAUCCACGCUUGGCAGCUUCAGUGUAAAGAGCCAAUAUCUGAUCAACUGUCAUGAGGUAUGUGCCGGUGGAAUUCAUGACCUUGACAGCAGUUGAGGAUGAGUUCUCGAGAGCAAUGCUAAGUAAGCAACCAGGCAAAGGUCUCAGGCAGUCAGUUCCAGAUUGGAGGUUUGAUUUCAGGUUCCGACUGACUGCUCUCUUUCUCUUGUCCUGCAGGUGUGGACAAGGACGAAGACAAGGACAGGGAGAAAGCAUAAUAUGAGAUACUCUUACUUUCGACCCUGAUGAUAUGAGAUACUCUUGUUCUUGGUGUGGCUUAUUUGCUGAGGUAUUAUCGGGGGGAAAUAAAGCUGAGUAUUUCGAGAGGUUAUGUUGAGGGUGCAUUCUCGAAUGUGAGAAAGGGUUGAGCAUUUUUGUAGGUUUGCCUGUCCGUUGAGGAUGGAGGUCGAUGUAUAUAGGGAUUUCCCAAUAACAAGUAGUAAUGCUAUUCCUUUAUCCUUCUUGGUCACAACAAUGUAGUGGGAGCUGCCAGCUUCACGUGUUUUAACUUUGUCAGAGCACUUUGAAAAAUUGGUAUGUGGUAUCUGGAAAGCUGAUGUUGCGUGUGAAGAUUACAGACAAGCUUUAUCUAAGGAAAUCUGGCUCUCGAAGUUCUGAGAGCUGUGCCUCUUCGGUUUUCGAACAAGCAAUCCCGUCGGGGAUCUAGCUCUCGAGAUUCGGAAAGCGGUGCAGCUUCGGUUUUUGAGAAAGUAAUUAUGUUAGGAGUCUUUUCUCGAAGGUGAGUAAAGGUUGGACGUUCUUGCCAGCCUGUCUUGCCACAGAACACGGAGGUCGACACACAUAGGGGCUUUCCAGUUGUCAAGCAGUGGUGCUGUUCCUUUACCCUUGUGGGUAAUAGUAGGGUAGCUGGAACUUCUAAAUUCUCGUGCCUAAACUUUGUCAGAGAUCUUUGGCAAAGUUAUAUGUGGUACCCGAGGAGUUGAUGGUGCGUGUGGAGAGUGGUGAUUGAACAGUAAGAUUCACGUGCUUUUUAUUUCACCAGAAAUCUUCGACAGAUUGCCCAUAAUUUCCGCAAAGCUGAGUGUGCAUGUGACAGGUGCUGACGAGGCUGAAAAAGCAGGUGCUUCUUCGAUUUCUGAGAUCGGCCCUCGUGGUCUCUGAGCAACUCAGCUUUCGAGAAAGCAAACGCCUCUUCGAUUUCUGAAGCUCUGUCAAGUGUAGAUUUUUAUAGAGGUUGGCAUUAAGUUCCACAUCACACUUGAAUCUCCACCAGUAGAAGCUCCCUUCUUGCACUUCUAAGAUCUUGAUUUGUCUGACCUCUUCCCUCUUCAACACCUUUGAAAAUGUCUAGCUCCUCUGACCGUCGUUUUGACUUGAACCUUGGAGAAGAGACAGCCACGCCUUCUCCAGACAACAUAUGGCGCCCAUCCUUCAUAUCCCCUACUGGUCCUCUUACCGUUGGGGAUUCUGUGAUGAAGAAUGAUAUGACCGCUGCAGUGGUGGCCAAGAACCUUUUCACUCCCAAAGAUAACAUACUACUUUCCAAACGGUCUGAUGAGUUGGCUGUUAAGGAUUCUUUGGCUCUUAGUGUUCAGUGUGCAGGUUCUGUGUCUAAUAUGGCCCAACGCCUAUUUGCUAGAACCCGCCAAGUUGAAUCAUUGGCUGCUGAAGUGAUGAGUUUCAAACAGGAGAUUAGAGGGCUCAAGCAUGAGAAUAAACAGUUGCACCAGCUUGCACAUGACUAUGCUACAAACAUGAAGAGGAAGCUUGACCAGAUGAAGGAAUCUGAUGGUCAGGUUUUACUUGAUCAUCAGCGGUUUGUGGGUUUGUUCUAAAGGCAUUUAUUACCGUCGUCUUCUGAGGCUGUACUGCGUAAUGAAGCUCCAAAUGAUCAACCUCCGAUGCCUCCUCCUUCUGGGGUUCUGUCCAGUACUGAGGCUCCGGAUAACCACCCUUCGGUGCUUUCUCUUUCUGGGGCUCUACCGACUGCUGAGACUUCCCCUGAGCAACCUUUGUGAAGGCUCCCUCUUGUUUGUUUAUUUUGAUUCAUGUAUAUGUACAUAUUUGUAACUUAUCGGAAAUAUCAAUAAACAAGAUUAUCUUCAUUUCAACGUAUUGUGUUAAAUACACCAAGGCAUUCUUCACUAAGUUCUUUGAAUUUUUCCUUUUGUUGAAGCUUGUAUGUUGAAACUUUGUGAGUGAAGCAUGUAGGUUGAGGUAGUGCUCCCUUAAUUUCCCGAGUGAGGAAAACUUCUCGUUUGGAGACUUGAAAAAUCCAAGUCACUGAGUGGUCGUGAGACUUCCGAGUAUCAAGGUGCAGUAGCAUAUGGUAGGAGUCCCCCAAGUCUCUGGUCGAGGGAGUUGACAAAUGAGGCAUUUCCUUUCGAAGUGGUAGCCCAAAACUCCUUCUUCAUAUAUAUUUGUUAUGAAAGUUGUUAGGCCCAAAGAAGAGGAGGCCUAGGCAAAUUUUUUUUUUUUUGAAUUUUCAAAUUUCCGGAUUUUUGAAUUUUCGAAUUUCCGAAAAAUAAAAAAUAAAAAUAAUAUAUAUAUAUUUAAAAGCUUUGUAGGUGAAGCUUUGGUGUUGAAGAUUUGUAGGUGAAGCUUUGAGGUUGAAGCUUUGUUGGGCACCAUGAAUUGAUUUUGCUUCACACUAUCUUGAUGAAGAGUGUGUGAAGCUUUUAUAUGUUUUGGUGUUGAAAUUUUGUAUUGUAGGUGAAACUUUGGGGUUGAAGCUUGAUAGGUGAAGCUUUGGUGUUGAAGCUUUAUAGGUGAAGCUUUGGUGUUGAAAGCUUUAUAGGUGAAAGCUUUGGUGUUGAAGCUUUAUGAAGCUUUAUGUGAAGCUUUGGUGUUGAAGCUUUAUAGGUGAAGCUUUUGUUGGCACCAUAAAUUAAUUUUGCUUCACACUAUCUUGAUGAAGAUAGUGCGAAGUUUUGGAGAUUGAUAUUUGUCCUCCAUUGAUGAAGCUUUUGUUGGCACCAUAAAUUGAUCUUGCUUCACACUAUCUUGAUGAAGAUAGUGCGAAGCUUUUGAGAUUGAUAUUUGUCCUCCAUUGAUGAAGCUUUUGUUGGCACCAUAAAUUGAUUUUGCUUCACAGUAUCUUGAUGAAGAUAGUGCAAAGCUUUUGAGAUUGAUAUUUGUCCUCCAUUGAUGAAGCUUUUGUUGGCACCAUAAAUUGAUCUUGCUUCACACUAUCUUGAUGAAGAUAGUGCGAAGUUUUGGAGAUUGAUAUUUGUCCUCCAUUGAUGAAGCUUUUGUUGGCACCAUAAAUUGAUCUUGCUUCACACUAUCUUGAUGAAGAUAGUGCGAAGCUUUUGAGAUUGAUAUUUGUCCUCCAUUGAUGAAGCUUUUGUUGGCACCAUAAAUUGAUUUUGCUUCACACUAUCUUGAUGAAGAUAGUGCAAAGCUUUUGAGAUUGAUAUUUGUCCUCCAUUGAUGAAGCUUUUGUUGGCACCAUAAAUUGAUUUUGCUUCACACUAUCUUGAUGAAGAUAGUACGAAGCUUUUGAGGAUUGUAGUUGUGUUCCAUUGUUGAAGCUUUGUUUUUCCUUUUUUUUUUUUUUUUUUUUUUUUUUUUUUGGGAAAACUAGAAAUUUGAAAAUGUGGGAGAGACAACAUAUACAAAUUUUGCUUCCAUACUGUUAAGCGAGAGAUUGUGAUGCAAGCCACAUCUUGUAGUAGUCGAAGGUUUGGAUGAACCAUAUAAAUUGAAUUUGCUUCGAACAGUCUUGAUCAAGAGCGUGUGAAGCUUUCUAUGAGUUGUAGUGUUUGCAUUGUUACAGAGGAGAAAUGUCUGAAGCAGAUGCAAGAGGGCUGAAGAGCUUGAUCUUCGUAUACCAUGCACUGAAGCCAUUGUUGGCUUGCAAUAAGACUUUGUUGGUGACUAUAGCUCUUGUUAGGCAUAAGUGCUCCCUUAGUUGAGUUGUAAAGCUUGAUGGUUUUUGAUUAUUUGUGAAUGCUAGGAGUUCACAUGUACAAGUUGUACCACUCGUCUUCUGGUUAGUGGAAUGAAGGGUGGGUUGCUUUCAUCACUUGGUUGGUGGUACGAAUGUGAAUUCCUUAAUCACCUUUCAUCACAUUUCAUCACCUGGUUGGUGACAUGAAGGAGAGUACGCGUUGUACAUUUCAUCACCUGGUUGGUGGCAUGAAGAUGAGUUCCUUCUUCACCUGAUUGGUGAUAAGGGUGGCAAGUUUCCAAAUAAUAUUAGAGUACGGGUUGUACAUUUCAUCACCUAGUUGGUGGUACGAAGGUGAGUUCCUUCAUCACCUAGUUGGUGAGAAUAAGGGCAAGGUGUCGAGGCACAUUGUGGCAAAUGUCGAAUGACACAAAGUGUGUUGAACCCUUUCGAAGCACAGUUGGCUUAUGUAUGGAUGUGUUGGAAUGUAUGAUGUUUAUGCAUGAAUGUGUUGGAAUGUAUGAUGUUUAUGUAUGAAUGUAUUGGAAUGUAUGAUGUUUAUGUAUGAAUGUGUUGGAAUGUAUGAUGUUUAUCCUUUGUAUAGUCUUGUUGACACAUACUUAGAUUUUGUUUUGUAUUAGAAACAUUUGCGUUGAAGCUUCAACACUUGAGUGUUUCAUUGCUCAGAAUGUAAAAGAGUUUAGGGCCGAGUUGGCUAAAUCACCUUUUUAUUGAAUUCAUACCAAAUGGUUUUGUUACAUAGGAUGCCGAACGGCUGUAGCUUAACACUUGUACAAUGUGAGUCUAUUUGUAAUAGUACUUCAAGUCGUCAGCAUUCCAUGGAUGGCCAAAAGUCUUGCUGUCGGAGCUUCUGAGCUUGUAGGAGCCAGGGCGGCUGAUGCUGACGACCUCGAACGGUCCAUCCCAGUUAGGACUGAGUGUUCCUUCAUUCGGGACUCUAUCACAGAGUAAUCUUUUCUUCAGUACCCAGUCUCCACUUUGAAUGAGCGAGGUUUGACCCUUGAGUCGUAGUAGUUGGAGAUGCGCUGCUUGUAGGCGACAUUCCUCAGAUGAGCCUGAUUUCUAUGUUCCUCGACUAGAUCCAGGUUGAGGGUGAGUUGUUUGUCGUUUUCACUCUGCAUGUAGUUCUGGAUUCGGUAUGUUGCUUGCUCAAGCUCAACCGGGACAACUGCUUCUGUACCAAAAGCAAGUGAGAAUGGAGUUUCUCCUGUGGAAGUCCGAUAUGAAGUGCGGUAUGACCAAAGAACUUGGGGUACGAAUUCUGGCCAACAACCUUUAGCUUUGUCCAAGCUAGUUUUCAGAGUGCGCUUGAUUAUUUUGUUAACGGCCUCGACUUGUCUAUUAGACUGGGGAUGGGCUGGAGAGGCAAAACAUAAGUUGAUGUUAAACUUAGAGCAGAACAUCCUGAAGUUCUUGUUAUCGAAUUGUCACCCAUUGUCCGUGACUAUCGCAUUGGGAAUGCCGAAUCUGCAAAGGAUGUUCUUCCAUACGAAGUCUUCUAUUUUUGCCUCAGUAAUGGUUGCCAAGGGUUCUACUUCAGUCCACUUUGUGAAGUAGCCAACUGCAACGAUUGCAUAGCGGACCUUGCCCUUCCCUGCAGGCAUUGGGCCGAUCAAAUCAAGUCCUCAUUGGGCGAAGGGCCAAGGGCUGAUCAUAGGAGUGAGCGGCUCGGGAGGGGAGUGAGGGAUAGUUGCGUAGCGUUGACACUUAUCACAUGAGCGAGAUAUUCUGAUGGCAUCUUGGUGGAGUGUUGGCCAAUAGUAUCAUUGGCGAAAAGUCUUGUGUGCUAGGGAUCGAGACCCAGCAUGAUCUCCGCAGACUCCUUCAUGUAUUUCCCGAAGGACAAUUUCCGCCUCCGCAGGUGUAAGGCAUCUUAGGUAAGGCAGGGUAAAACCUCGCUUGUAGAGUUGGUCAUUAAUGAUCAGGUAGCGAGCAGACUUGUAUCGAAUCUGCUUAGCUUGGACUUUGUCAUUUGGGAGGGUGCCAUGGGCAAGGAAUUUAUAAAUUGGGGUGAUCCAACUAUCUCCUUGUUGUAAAUUGCACACUUCUGCGACCAUGGUGCUUGGUGCUGCCAACAAUUCGACAUGAAUUUUUCUCCCAAUCUUGUCUUCCACUGCCGAGGCGAGGCGGGCCAAAGCGUCUGCAUGACUAUUUGCCGCUCGAGGAACUUGGGUGAUCUGGUAGUGGAAGUGCUUGAGCAAAAGUCGUGUUUGCGCAAGAUAUGUUGCCAUGGAGCUAUCCUUAGCAUCAAAGUUGUUCGUGACUUGGUUGACCACUGAUUGAAAGUCACUGAAGAUAUCAAUUUGUUUAACUCCAAGAUGCUUGGCCAAACGUAAGCCUGCUAGAAGGGCUUCGUAUUCGGCCUCGUUGUUCGAUGCCUUGAAUUUGAAACGAAGAGCGUAUUCUAUCGCCACUUUGUCAGGGGUAGUGAGGACUAAUCCUGCUCCGCAGCCCUGUUGGUUGGAUGAGCUAUCAACAUACAGACUCCAUGCUGGGGUUGUUGAUUUUGUCUUCUGAGCUUCCGAUGGUAAUGAAGCUAUUGCUUCAGGUGUAGAAGCUAUUGCUUCAGGUGUAGAAGCAAUGUCAACAGGAUAUGUGAAGUCGGCGAUGAAAUCUGCUACUGCUUGACCCUUUUCGGCUGGUUUUGGUUGGUAGGAGAUGUCAAACUCACCCAAUGCUAUUGCCCAUUUGAUCAUUCGCCCAUACGUGUCAGGACUCUAGAGUACCUGUCGAAGAGGGUGAUUGGUAAGCACGAUGAUGGCGUGUGCUUGGAAAUAAGGGCGAAGUUUUCCAGCAGACAUGACCAAUGCUAGAGCUAAUUUCUCAAUGUUGGAAUAUCGUGUCUCCGCAUCUUGUAGGGCCUUGCUAGCAUAGUAGACGGGCCGUUCGACACCACUGUCCUUUCGGAUAAGAACAGAACUGACUGCUGAAGCCGAGACCGAUAGAUAGAUAAUGAGAGUGUCACCAACUUCUGGUUUGGAGAGCAGAGGGGCUUUACUCAUGUACUCUUUGAGGUUCCUGAAUGCCUUGGCACAUUCCUCCGUCCAUGUAAUGUACUUCUUAUUUCCCUUGAGUGCUUUGAAGAAAGGAGCACAUCUGUCUGUGGCCUUAGAGAUGAAUCUGGUUAAGGCUGCCACAUUGCCAGUAAGGCUUUGGAUGUCUUUUGAAGUUACUGGCUCUUUCAUGUCGAGGAUUGCUUUGAUCUUUUCGGGGUUAGCUUCAAUGCCUCGUUGGCUAAUCAUGAAGCCUAAGAAUUUGCCAGAUCCCACGCCGAAGGCACAUUUGUUGGGGUUCAACCUCAUUCGAUACCUCUUUAGAAUGGUGAAAGUUUCAGAUAGGUUGGUGAUGUGUUGGUCAGCAUGUUUGCUUUUGACUAGCAUAUCAUCAACGUAAACUUCCAUGCUCUUCCCAAUCUAUUCGGCAAACAUUGAAUUGACCAGUCUCUGAUAAGUUGCUCCUGCAUUCUUUAGGCCGAAAGGCAUGACUUUGUAGCAAUAUAGUCCCUUGUCAGUAGUGAAGGCUGUGUUCUUGGUCUGAGGGGUUCAUGAGGAUUUGGUUGUAUCCUGAAUAAGCGUCCAUGAAGCUCAAGAGCUCACACCCUGCCGUAAAGUUUAUAAGUCUAUCAAUGAGAGGAAGGGGGAAACUAUCAUUCGGGCAUCCUUUGUUUAGGUCGGUGUAGUCGACACACAUUAUCCACAAGACCUUUUGAAGCAGAAGACUUUCUUUGGUCAGAUUUUUCUUAACAAGGACAACAUUUACUACCCAUGUUGGGUAAUUGACUUCACGGACGAAGCCUAUGUCCUUGAGUUUUUCAACUUCUGCUUUCAUCGCCUCGUAUCGUUCAACAUCAUAAGAUCUUCGCUUCUGUUUUACUGGUUUGGUCUUGGGAUCAAUACUCAAGUGGUGACAGAUGAUAUCGGGAGAGAUGCCCGGCAUAUCUUUAUAUGACCAAGCGAAGACCUCGGCGUUCUCUUGCAAAAAGGAGAUCAGCGACAACCGAAGGGGUGGUGACAAAGUGGUGCCAAUCUUCACCAUGCGAUCUGGAUGGUCUUUGGAGAUAGAGACAUUCUCUAACUCUUCAGCGGGUUGUGCUUGCUGGGUGAAUGAGUCAUCUCGAGGGUCGUCGGGUUGACUGUUGCCAUCAUGAAGAUCCGAGUUGGCUUCAUCUGGACUGGUCUUUACUACCUGGUUAUGUAUAGAGAGGGUCUCCUUGAGGACAUGCAGGUGUUGUUGCUUAACUGAAGUGUUGUAACAUGAUCGAGCACUAAGUUGAUCUCCCAUGAUGUAUCCAUUGCCGAAAGGGGUUGGAAACUUCAUCAACAACAUAUGUGUGGAUACCAUGGCCUUGAGAUCAUUGAUGCCUGUGCGCCCAAAGAUGACAUUAUAUGCCGUCGGGCAAUUGACCACUAGGAAGUUAGUGGUAAUAGUAGCUGUGUAGGGGCCUGUACCAAUGGUGAGGGGUAAGUGUAUACUCCCUAAAGGUUGCACGAUAUCGCCAGAGAAGCUUAUCAGAGGAGAAAUCGAGCGAUCGAGCAAGUGUUCAGCUACAUUAAGUGCCUUGAAAGCUUCAGCAAACAUGAUAUUGACUGAAGCACCUGUGUCUAUCAGGAUUCGUUUCACAUCAAAAUUUGCUAUGUGAGCCUCCACGAUCAGCGGGUCGUUGUGAGGGUAGAUGAUACCUCUUUCUUCCUCAGGGUAGAAACAUAUUGGAUCCCAGUUAGGUUUUUGAUACUUGCCUCCCCUGAUGUCUUCCACGUGAAACACUUGAUGGCCAUGUCUCAAAGUUCGUUCACUGUUUUUCAUGGCCCUAUUGGAAGAUUCAGACAUGGGUGUGCCGCCGCUUAUGGAGUAUAUCACAUUCACCUGGCGUUGGUUACGGUUAUCCCUUGGAGGAUGAAGGAGGAACUGAUCAAUUUUUCCUUCACGUGCCAAAGCUUCGAUAUGAUCAUGGAGGAUGAUGCAUUUCUCGCCGUCAUGGCCAUUAUACGUGGUAGCAGCAAAACACGCUCGUGUUCUUCGUGGACUUGUAAUUUGGCUGUCUUGGCUUUGGCUUUGGUAUCAGGUAAGCUAUACUGGGGUAGAUGGCCGCGCAUGUAGCGUUCAAAGGUGUGUAUGUCUCAUACCUCGGGGUAUGGCCUGUCUUGACACGCGAUUGGCCCACUGCGUUGACUGCAUGGGGAUGGGUGUUAUUGUGACGAUAUACUGAGUUAUCGUGAUAGUGCCCCUUAUUCUUUUUAUUAAAAUGAGAUUGGUGAGGAUGGAAAUCUUUCCUUUUGCCCUGGGAUUGAUAUGUCUGCUGACUUGGCGAAGCAUUAAAUGAGGCCGGGGGGUGUGCUGCUACCGUUUGGAAGGUUGAGGUCUUUUCAUUCGGUUGGAUCUGGCCUCCACUCCUACUUGCUGAUAAGGGGUGACUGUAGGGGGUUUCCCUUGAUAUGUCCUUGCCUCGGCAGAGGCAUGGUUGUAAGCUUGUGCCAUCACUUCAGAGUAAGUCUUCCAAGUGUUGGCAUUGAUCAUGUACUUGAAGAAACAGUCACGUAAGCCUGCCGUGAAGGCCUUGAGGGCGGUCUUGUCAUCUGCCUCAGCGCAGCGGGAAUACUCAUGGCUGAAGCGACCAGCAUACUUUCGUAAUGACUCGUCCGGCUUCUGGUGAAUAGUGUACAAGUCAUCUGCGGAAUGCAAGCGAUCGGUCUAGAAGAUGUGUUGAGAGACAAACAACUUCCUCAACUCUUCAAAUGAGUCUACCGUCUCGGGUAGAAGACGACAAUACAGUUUAAAGCUCCGCCAGAAAGGGUGGAGGGGAAGAGAAGGCACCGUUCUUCAUCGGUGUGUCUCCGGUAUACCAUGGUGGACUCAAAGAGGUUAAUGUGUUCAAUCGGGUCUUCCCUUCCAGUAUAGAGUUGUAAGUCAAGCUUCUGCUUUGUCUUCGCUUGGAGGGGGGUGUUGAGGAUCCUUCUUGUGAGGGGGCCAGGCCUGGGUUGGUUCCAGUCAGGUAUCUCGGCUUGACGUUCAGCCUUCAACUUGUUUACUUCCUCCAGGAGCUGUAGGACGAGGGGGUCCUGAGUGGAGUCGUGCAUCACUGGAGUUUUCUUCCGUAAGUCCCCAUCGCCUCUUGGAAGUAGGAAAGUUUGAUCAAGAUAGCAUGAUUUUUCCUUGGACUCGUCACACUGACUCCUAGAGUGAGUAUGUCGGAACAUUUCCGAGUCCCCUGUACCUUCAUGUUCUUCUGGGACUUGUUGCCCAUUCCCUAGAUUAACUGCUGGCCUGGGUCGUGGGAAAGGACCGAGUCUUUCAGAAACUCUUGGGUCAUUGAUCUUCGAGCUUAUGUGGAUGGGAUUCUCUCGACGUUGCUUUAGGAAGUCUCGACAAUCGCGAUAGACAGCUUUUGAUCCUUCCACUCCUUCUGUGAGGAGGUGCUUUCCUCUACUCUUUCUGCUUCGGGUUGAAGCAGCUGGGUUGAGAGAAGUCUCAUGUUGAUUAUCACAUUGAUGUGUAGCUCGAUCCCUAUCAGGGAUGUCCGUGUUGGAUAUUGGUGACCCUCCGUGUUGGGGGGCAUUCAGAUGAUUGUUGACCUCAGCAGGGGCGACGAGCUUGUGUGCUUGAGCAUGCCUAGCCUCGUGAAGCAUCUCGAAAAGUUUUUCAUACUGCUCCUGGAGGACCUCGUUCCUCAUCACUAUCUUGUUGUUCUGAGCUUCUAACUCAUCGACUUUAGCUUGAAGAGUAACUCUAUUUCCUUCCUGCUUUCGUUGCUUCAUACUAGGUCCAAUGGGGGUGUCAUUCUGUGUGCUAUGGCUUCUUUCGCUCCCCAUGUUGGAGAGAGAUGUUUGGCCAAAAGAAAGUGUACGGGCGGUGGAAACCAGCUUAACAAAGCUGAAGAGAGUGGGAGUAAGUGUCUUUCCCACAGACGGCGCCAAAUGUUGAUGCACAAAAUCAGCGAGGACUUUGGUACAACAGAAAGUGUCAGGUUUGUGACCUUCGCUUGGUUGCUUCGAUCACUAGUGAAGAUAAGUACGUAAAUGAAUAGGGACAGGGAAGCAAACACAAGAUGUACGUGGUUCACCCAGAUUGGCUACGUCCACGGAGUAGAGGAGUUCUCAUUAAUUGUGAAGGGUUUACACAAAUACAUAGGUUCAAGCUCUCAUUUUUUGAGUUCUAGUGAAUAGUUUAGUACAAAAUGACAUUAGAGAUUAUUGUGGGAGAAUGAUCCCUAUUUAUAGAAGAAAGUUUCUAGUUUUGUUCUAACAUUGACACGUGUCGUGUUGUGAUUGGCUUCUGAUGUUGACACGUGUCGCGCUGUGAUUGGCUUCUGAUGUCGACACAUGUCGCAUUGUGAUUGGCCUCCUGGUUGAAGGGAAGCUCUUCUGGGUCCUUGACGUAUAACGUUGACCGGUGGUAGAUGGCCGCGCAUGUUGAUGUGGCAUCUUCUUUGGAAGUACUUUUCCUUCAUCCAUGGGUGGUAUCUUUAACCGAUGAAGAUGCACAAGGUAAUGUAUCAAUUUCACUUGAAGCUUACUUAGAAGUUUCGUGAUUACUCAGUGGCUUGGAUCUUGCAAGUCCCCAACCGAGGAGCUUCCCUCACUCGGGAACUUAGGGGAGCACUGUUUGUACCAUACUUGACCAAUCCCGAAAACUACUGAGCACCGGUCAACGUUAUACGUCAAGGACCCAGAAGAGCUUCCCUUCAACCAGGAGACCAAUCACAAUGCGACACGUGUCGACAUCAGAAGCCAAUCACAGCGCGACACGUGUCAACAUCAGAAGCCAAUCACAACACGACACGUGUCAAUGUUAGAACAAAACUAGAAACUUUCUUCUAUAAAUAGGGAUCAUUCUCCCACAAUAAUCUCUAAUGUCAUUUUGUACUAAACUAUUCACUAGAACUCAAAAAAUGAGAGCUUGAACCUAUGUAUUUGUGUAAACCCUUCACAAUUAAUGAGAACUCCUCUACUCCGUGGACGUAGCCGAUCUGAGUGAACCACGUACAUCUUGUGUUUGCUUCCCUGUCCCUAUUCAUUUACGUACUUAUCUUCACUAGUGAUCGAAGCAACCAAGCGAAGGUCACAAACCUGACACUUUAUGUUGUACCAAAGUCCUCGCUGAUUUUGUGCAUCAACACAAUGUAUGAGAGAAGGAAAUGAAAGAUGAUGUGAAUAAGAGGGGAGAAAAUUCUACUCAUGCUAAAAACAAAAAAUAAUGAUCGACUCUGUAGAUAUUGGCCAAACCAAACAUUAGAUGUGAAAAAUUAGCACUUUGCCGAAUAAUAUUCCGAGUGAGCAAAAUAGAGAAAAAUAUAACAAUGGCACACAGAAAAAAUAUAAAAGUUGAGGAGCCGGGUGAUAUAAUAUUAGACAUUGCAAUUGUAGGCUCGGACGACUCAAGGAGAAAAAGGUUGCUUGCACCACUAUAGGAAAAUUACAAAUCAACAAUGCAGAGGUAACGUGCAUGGUCUUCUCUUCUGCCAUGAAAAAUUCAUGUUGCUUUCAUAUAAUUAACUAAUUAACUAGUUAUUAGUGUUAAUUAUUCUCUAACAUUUCCUUCCUCCAUUGUUUUCUUCUUCUUCAGAUCAAAGUUUCAAUAGUUUUUUUUUAUUUUUUAAAUUCCUUUUACUUUAACAAUAUUAGCGAUUCCAAUUCUACUAGCUAGUUUUAGGUUGUAUUUUAAUUGGCUCGUGUGCUUCUGUUGCAGGACGUGUUUGGGGAAAAAGGAAGGAUACUUGAACAGGCAGGAGCUGUAGCAAAGGUAGCCUCUAUGAAAAAACAUAAUGAACUCUUUGUAACGAAACAACUUCGUUUGACUCGUUUCAUUUAAAUUUUUUGUUUUUCUCAGGUGCAAAGCGACGUGGUUUUGUUAAAAAAAAAAAAAAAACUAAAACGGAGCAACGCCCCACUGCAGAAAACCAAAAUGCAGCACCGCAGCACCAGAGCAGAGGGGUGGAAACCUGGAUUUUGGGAACGAACUCCGGCGACCGAAGGUGCGAACACACCUCCUUGAACCUCUGUGGCUUCGCCAAUGAAGGUCUCGAUAUUAUUUAUGAGGAGUUCAUGAUAAUUACUUUAAAGUGUUAAUAACAAUCCUCUUUCUUAUUCUUAUGCUAGUAGGUCUGGUACUUCCUACAAUCUUAAAAUAUGCAUAAAUUCACUCAUAUAGAAUGGGAAAAUGCCAUACGUUACCAUUUGGAAAUUGGCGAGACAUGAAAAAGUCCUUGAACCUCGCUCCCCCCCGCAAGGCAGGCUUAAACUCGCCCGUGAUGAGAAGACAUGUCUUUUGUGAAUGACAGGAAAUAGGACAAAACCAUCCCUUCUCUUUUUUGUUAGUAAAAGCAUCCCAUGCUUUCUAUCUCUUCAUUCCACUGACUAUUUCGAACACAAAACAUCAAUACAAGUAUUAGUAAAAUGAAAACUUCUUUCUUUUAUUCAAUAAUUAUUAUGGGUUGUGUUUAUUGAUCAACCUGUAAGUAGAUAAAACACUAAUAAUACAAUUAGUUAGGUAAAAAAAAUCAGUUUUUUUUUCAAGUUUCUCAACUAACCGGGACCUAAGUAUUCCCUUGGCGUUCUUACACCAACAAAGAAACAACAACGAAACACACAGGAACACAAAAAUUGGGGACCUCUUUUUAUCUACUUGCCCACCAUCACAAAUAUUACCUUUUUUUUCUUGUAUGGUUUGGUGGUAGGGAACGAAACCUAGCUACAUUCACUUCUUCUGAUUUGCAGUUGACUCUGGUUUUUACAUGAGUAUAUACUGAAGCUCGAUGGACCCCAGGCUAUAUAAUAUUCGAAAAUAGUCAUUCCUUAUUUGUCCGUCAAUCACAAUAUAUAUAAUCAAUUUGAUGAGUAAUUUUGCGUACAUGUAAAGUGUACGUACAAUCCUACAGAGAAUAUUUACAUUAGUUAUAAGGCCUCAGCAUUUGAUAUAACUAAAAGGCAACCUGUAUCAACUCAUUCUUCGAGUCAAGAAUAUCUGAGCUUCUUAGAGGGGGAAUAUAGGCUCUAAAACCAUGUCUUGGUUUUUUACAGUUCUCUUUCUUGUUACUGCUCUUACAUUUCAUACUCCUUCAGAGGCUAGCCAUGAGAAGAACGAUCCUUCUGCAGUUGUUGUAGGCACUGUCUACUGUGACACAUGUUUCCAAGAGGAUUUCUCACAUACCAGCCAUUUCAUUUCAGGUAAAUUCAUCUCAAAAUUUCAACAAGUUCUUCAUCAAAUUUAUUUUUAUAUUGUAGUCUGACUAUAAAAUAGACGUCCGUUCAAUGAUUUCCGUACACCUUCUCCUCCAUACACUCAUGUUUAUUUUGUAAUCUUUAAAUUCAAAUGAAUCAAAGAAAAUCAAAAGAAAGGAAUAAAAAGGGUACAAAAUGAAAAAAAAGAAAGUAAAAUCCAAGAAAAUGACUGAAAACCUAUAUGUAAGUAUUUCCUAUAUAUGAGUCAACUAUACAACUACGAAAAGUAUAUAACAAAUCAAUUUCAAAAAAAUCUCGCCUAACUCCUUGGCGGUAAGACUCUGCAUUCAAUCACGAUUUCUUUCCAACAGACAACGAGUGGUAGGGAUAUUAUUUCUCUUGAAGAAAAGUUGGAGGAUAUGUCAUUUGUAUGUGUUGAUAUCAUUGUCGCCAAGUAUGCAUGUCAUCAGUAACUUUAAAUGAUUUAUCCCCAUACAAAGUAUAAUAGUUGAUCUAAAUGAUUUAUCCCCAUACAAAGUAUAAUAGUUGGUCUAAACCCUAAUUCCAUAAAGGACCAUACUGUUUAAAUGAAAUAAUUGCUCGGUUCCAUUUUACCCCUACAUUUUCUGCUUUUGUUUCGUUGCAAGAGUUUAACUUGUUAUUUGGAAUAUAUUGUUCACAGAAAGCACUUGUUCAGCAAUUUUUGGCUACUGAAGAUGCACUGAACAAAGCUGCAGAAGCGAGGGAUCUAUGUCAAAAACUUAUAAAACGCUUGCAUGGCAAUAGUGAUGUAAUUUCUUCAGGAACAUCACAAAAUGUGGGCAGUCUUAGGCAACUUGAGGUAAAUCUUCCUUGCAUAUUAAAAGUAUUAACUACCAAUAGUUUGGGUGGAAAUAGCACCAUGGGUGACAGGUUUGAUUAGUUUCAGUCUUUUGAUCGUUUCCAUAGUUGUAUACUGUAUACUAGGUUACUUUUAGCCUGCACUGUGUUCUCAUCUGAUUUUUUACAGUCUUCCAUUUGCUUUGUGUAGAUGGAGGUUUGGGCUAAGGAAAGAGAAGUUGCUGGCUUGAGGGCUAGCUUGAAUACACUGAUGUCUGAAAUACAACGCUUAAAUAAAUUAUGUGCGGAAAGGAAAGAAGCUGAAGAUUCUUUGAAAAAGAAGUGGAAGAAGAUUGAAGAAUUUGAUUACCGCAGAUCAGAACUUGAAAUCAUAUAUACCACAUUACUAAAAGUUAACAUGGUAAGGAUCUCAGCUUCAAUAGUGCUUAUAAAUUUACUAGUCACUUCAUAUACUGGCAUUGUAUAAGCCAUGUCUGGUCAUUCCAUGAAGUGUCGGCUCCUUUUCUUUAAGUUCCAGGCAAAAGUUCAUAUAUAUAAUAUAAAAUUCAAGACAAAUUUUCUAGCAGCCCAACGAGUAGAUGGACUCUUUUUUUUUUUUAAAUGAAAUCCACGGUCUCCUCUUUAGAUGCCCAAAGACCCUAUUUAUGGUUAUAGGUCUGGGGUUAACUCACCAGGAGACUUCAAUUUCCCUGGAACUUAUGCAAAUGAUAUCACCAAUUGCAUAGUUUUCAUUUGUUAUUCGUAUCAUAUGGUAGAAUAUUUCAAUAGAGGCAGCUAGGAUAAUGCUUAUCCAUCUCUUUGUCUUCUGUCGGGAAUAUUUUCUAAUGUUAUUUUUGUCUUGGUACAUGGUAGGAUGCUGCUGCCUUCUGGAAUCAGCAGCCAUUAGCCGCACGGGAGUAUGCAUCAAGCACAAUUAUUCCUGCAUGCACAGUAGUCAUGGAUCUUUCAAAUAGUGAAAAACAUCUUAUUGAAAGAGAAGUUUCUGCUUUUGACCAAAGUCCUGAUAAUAGCCUCUACAUGAUUCCAGCAAUUCCACAGGUUUGUGUUGGGGCUUAAAAAGACUUCACUACUUUGGAGAUGUUUAUCUCAUAAAGAAGAAUGUAACGCAGCGGAAUUGAUAGCCAAGAAAAAAGAAAGAACACUCAGAGUAUUACACAAAAUUUUUAUUCUCACACAAACUUAGUACAAGAGGAAACACUCAAACACUCUUACACUUCUUCACUCUUUUUCUCGCUUCUUGCUUUCUUACUGACUCUCACUUCUUCUUGCUUCUUUGUUACACAACACCACACACCUAUUUAAAGGUGGUGUUCCCCGACUAUCCUUGUUACCACCGACUUGAGCAUUGCAGCAAUGACCACAUGAUUUGCCGCCUCUAGAUCUUUCUUUAACUUGGAUAUUUUAGGUGAUAACCAUUUGAAAUUGCUGAAAUUUUCCAGCUAUAUUAUCGACAUAGAUUGCUAGCAUUUGCACACAUUUGCUUUGGGUUAGAUCACUUGUCUUGGGCCAAAGACAAGAUUACCUUUUAACAUCCUCCCUUAAUCUUGUCUUGUGACGCCGAUUGAGUUCCUCAGUCUAACAAAGUCUUCUUGUUUGAGUGGCUUGAUGAAUAUGUCAGCGACUUGGUCUUGAGACUUCACGGAUUCCACUUGCACAUCCUUUCUUGCAAUGCACUCUCUUAUGUAGUGAUAACGAGUAUCUAUGUGCUUGCUCCUGUCAUGGAACACCAGAUUCUUUGCUAGAGCUAUUACAGACUUGUUGUCGACAUUGAUCUCUGUUGGCUCUUCUUGUGGCCUGCUUAAUUCUUUCAGCACGUUUCUCAGCCAAAUUGCAUGACAGAUACAUGCGGUAGCAGCUAUAUAUUCAACUUCACAGGCAGACAGUGUGACAAUUGGUUGCUUCUUCAACAUCCAUGUGAAUGCAGUGUCUCCCAUGAAGAACACAAAUCCAGUAAUGUUUUUUCUAUCGUCGGAAUCUCCUGCCGAAUCACUGUCGCUAUAUCCAACAAGCUUGUAGUUAUUAGAGCUUGAAUAGAACAAGCCAAAGUUAAUAGUACCUUUAAGGUAUCAAAGAAUUCUUUUGGCGGUCUUCAAAUGUGUACUUAUGGGAUUCUCCAUGUAUCGACUAACUAAUCUGACGACAUAGAGAAUAUCUGGUCUUGUGCAAGCCAAUAGUGCAAGCUUCUAACUAGACUUUUGAAAAAUGUUGGAUCUACGCUUUCUCCUUUGUCAUGCUUGGUUAGUUUGACUCCGCACUUCAUUGGCGUGCUUAUGGGCUUGCAGUCUUCCAUUUUGAACUUUUUCAAUACCUCAUUUUGUAGCUUUCUUGGGAGAUGAAAAUGCCUUCUUCGUUUUGCUUAACUUCAAUGCCUAGGUAGUAUGUCAUCAGCCCGAUGUCGGUUAUCUCGAAUUCUUUGGUCAUCACUCUCUUGAACUCUUCAAACAUACUUGGAUUACUCACGGUGAAGAUUAGAUCAUCCACAUAUAAGCACACAAUCAAAAUGUCUCCAUCUUUGACUUUGAGAGCAUGUUCAUGAGGGCACUUGAUGAAGUUGUUCUCCUGAAAGUACUUGUCGAUGUGACUAUUCCAUGCUCGUGGCAUUUAUUUUAACCCAUAGAGGACUUUCUUCAACUUCAGAACUUUGUCUUCAUGCCCUUUGAUUUCAUAACCUGAUGGUUGCUGAAUGUAGACUUCUUCUUCAAGGACUCCAUUUAGGAAAGCGGACUUCACAACCAUUUGUUGAAUCUUCCAUUUGUUUUGAGCUGCCAAAGAAAUUAGUAAUUGUAUCGUUUCCUAAUGAGCAACGGGUGUAAAUACUUCAUUAUAAUCGAUUCUGGCUGUUUGACUAUAACAUUUCGCCACUAGUCUCGCCUUGUGUCUUUCGACCUCUCCAUUGGCAUUUUUCUUUGUUUUGUACACCCACUUGACUCCGAUGGCUUUAUGUCAUUUCGGAAGAAUAGUGAGUUCCCAUGUAUCAUUUUUUUGAAUUGCUUUGAUUUCUUCAUCCAUUGCUUUCCUCCAUUUAGUAUCCUGCACUGCUUCUUAGAAGUUGACUAGUUCACAAUCAGCAAAGAGACAGAAAAAUGUAGGAUUAUCAAGUCUUUUAGCCACCUCAUAGAGAUCUUGUAGACUUCUUGUGUGUGGUACUUCUGUUUCAUUUAGACUCCCACUUGACGAUGCUGAUGCUGGUAAAUUGCCAUGAUUGGUUGAUGUUGGUGAAGCAGGUAGAGUAGUGGAUUCUUGUUGAUCUUCUCUUGCUUGCUCCAUUAUUGUUUGUUCAUUAUCUUCUUCAAAUUGAGGAAAGAAGUGAAGAUCACCUGCAUGCAAGCCAAAAUCCCAUUCUCUUUCUUUAUUGAACGUCACUUCUCGACUAAUCACCGUCUUCCCAUUGUUCGAAGUAUACAGUUUAUAGCCUUUUGAAUUUGUGUCAUAGUUGAUGAAGAUGAACUUCUCACUUUUGUCGUCAAGUUUGGUGCUCCUCUUGUCUGGUACAUGUACAUGGGCUAUGCUUCCAAAAACUGUUAGAUGAAAGAUACCUGGCUUUCUUCCACUCCAUGCUUCUUGCGGAGUCCUUCCCUACACACUCUUUGUUGGAGACCGAUUGGAUAGGUAGACAACAUAUGUUACAGCUUCUGCCCACAAUUCCUUAGGCAAUCUCUAGCUUUUGAGCGUGCUUCGAGCCAUGUCGAGGGAUAGUUCGAUCUUUUCUUUCCGCCACACUAUUUUGUUGAGGGGAUCUUGGAACUAUCAAAGGUCAACGAAUUCCAUUUGCUUCACAAAACUCUUGAAAUUCAUUCGAAGUGAAUUCUCCUUCUCGAUCAGAUCUCAUGGCUUUGAUCUUGCAACCACUCUACUUUUCUACAACGGCUUUGAACUUCUUGAAUGCUCCAAAGACUUCUGAUUUCUGCUUCAAGAAAUACACCCAGGUUUUCCUUGAAAAAUCAUCAAUGAAGAGAAGGAAAUAAUUAUUUUUAGCCCAUGGAACACAAAAUUAUAACUUUUUGGACAACAAUACCCUUCUCUUUUUCAUUAAUUUCACUUCGAAAAUUAAACAAAAUUAAUCAAAAUUCCAGAGAUCUCUCAAUUUCUGCACAAUUAGCAUAAAAUAUUCAUUAAAAAUCAAAAUUUACCUCAACAAAUCAACUCAAAAACUAAGUUCUCUUGUUUUUCCAGGAAAUCAAGCUUAUUUGAUCGCACUUCAAAUUUUUUGGGAAACUGAGUGACAAAAACCCAACAAAAAGAAAUUUUCUCUAUGUUUGAUUUCUAUAUUCAAAGAAGAAAAACAGCAAAAUGAAGAAAAUCCAGAUCAGAUAAAGCAUUCUUGAGAAAGCCAAAGAGAGGAAAUUUUCUGGGGAAACAAACAUGAAGAACAGAAGGGUACCGGGGAAAGCCGAUGAAAGGAAGUGGCUGAUGCCGUCGCUCGAGGGAUGGGACAGCGAGGAUUAGGUGGAAGAUGUGAGGGAUGACGUUGAACUCGUAGGCGGUGGCUCAGGUAAGGUCGAACUCGUCGGAGUGGAUGGGUACGAUUGUCAUUUAAUCUUUCGUUCCAUUUCAGCUUGAACAUACACCAAAUGUAGCAUGGAACCUCCGUUCCGUCCUGUUUCGUCCAGUCUGUGUACUAAACGGUACCUUAUUGAAUGAAAGGAAAAGGCUUCUGCUUGGCUUAAUACCACUUUAGUCCAAUUGUCUUCUUGUUCUAGAAAUUGACAACUCUAUGUGAUGAAAAAACAUCUCAUGCUUAUUGUACGGAUGAAAAGUGCUGCUUUACACUAUUACAUUUAAAGUGAUUAGAAAUUCCGUGAAAAUUUAUAUUAUCUCAUUGCAUUGAUGAACGGGUGAGAUAUAGAGAAACAAAAUUUUAUACUUUCAUCUACUACAUUGAUGCUUAGGCGCACCGAAAGUCACCCAAAACCCUAAAAUUCUCCUCAUGAAUUAUGUGUCUAAUAUUUUUCAGAAGUUGUUAUCAGCACUUGCAAACAGUUUUUUAUGCAUGUCGGUCUGGAAGUUAUCUAUGAGGGGUCAUGAUAAUUAUUUUAAAAUGUUAGUAACAGUUAUCUUUUCUUAUUCUCGGUAGGCGGCUACCUCCCCCACACAGCAGCCCUAAACUCGCCCGUGAUGAGAAGACAUGACAUGUCUUUUGCGAAUGACAGGGAAUUGGACAAAACCAUCCCAUCUUUGUUUCAAUAAUUAUUAUGAAUUAUCGUAUACCGAUUAAUCUGUAAGCAGAUGAGAUAGCUACUCAUUUUCACCAUAAAAGGAAAACAUUUCAUCACAAGAUUGCAGUGCGGACAGAGAGGGUUGUGGUUGUCGUAGAUAAACCUAGGUUUCGUCACAAAACAGGAAAUUGAAUUAAGAACAAAACAAACAGAUUGUGGGUAGGAAAAGACAGAUUUUUUAGUGUGUUGAGAACACUGUUUGGUACACCAAGUAUAAUAAUACAAUUGGUUGGAAACUUGUUAAAAAAAAAAAUUUCCAACUAUUUAUAUCAUAUGGUGUAUUAGACCGUGUUCCCGAUAUCAACGAGAUUUGGAUGUCAUGCAUACAAAUAAAGCCCCUUAUUACUGUCACAUUAUUAUGUCUUGAUAAGAUCUUUAUUUAUUCCCUGCAAGUACCAUAUGAGAAAUGCUAAAGAGACUCUCUAUGGAUUCUCUGUUUGUCACUUCAUGUUUUUGACAUAAUAUUUUAUAAUGUUAGCACCAUAAUUGACUGUAAACUGUAAGGUAAUAUAGAGUAUAUGAAGAGUUCCACUUUAAGAGUGUCUCCUUAGCAUUUCUCAUACCAUAUUCUGACACCAUAGAAAGUAGCCAUUUUUUAUUGUAAGUUUUAGUUUUCACACGUAUUUAUGUUAUGCGAGACAACCGCAAAUAAAUCUUUUUGUAUAUACAACUUUUAUCAAGUUUAAGAGUUAUAAUUAAGAUAUUCCCGGUUGUAUAUAUUUAUAUGUUUUUAGUCAGUAUAAUUGGAGCUCAUCAUUAGUGUGUACGUGAUAGAUAUCCUCGGUUACACGGCAGAAUCUCACAGGAAUGUCAUAGCCAAUAAACUAGGCUCCUAUGCAUCAAUUUUUUAUGUGUGAAGAGAAAACACGAAUAAAUACAUGCAACAAUCUAUUGUUGCUGAUUGUGUACAACUUCAGACUCAUGAAAUUUGUAGCCACUCUACAUAUCUCGUGUGUAAAGUGGUACAUCAAAUGUGUCGAACUUGAUACAUCAAGUGUCAUAAUGCAAUUAAUUAAAAAACAAGAUUUCAAAUCUUUAUUUUCAAGUUUCACAUCUAACAGGGACCCAAUUAUUCUCUUUGGGACUUUUACAGCAACAAAGAAACAACCUCAAUCUACUUGCCCACCAUCCCAUACCUUUUUUUUUUCUUGUCUGGUUUGGUGGUAGGGAAUGAAACUUAUCUACGUUCACUUCUUCUGGUUUGCAGUUGACUGGUUUUUCCAUUAGUGUAAAAACGAAGCUUCAUGGACUGAUGCAGUACAUGGGGAACAAAUAUAUUUAAGGUUUUAGUGACUUCUUAUCUCUUAAAAGCCUUUGUGACCUUUCUUUUAAUUGAAUUGCCUAGUAACUAUCCUACUCUUAAAUAUUUAGUAUACCAAUGUUUGUAAUUUCCCUAUUUAAAGGGCUCCAUAUGUAUCCUUAAAGUGGUGAAAUUAGUGAAUUAAAGUUAAUCUAAGAAGAGAGUGGGCUUUCUCCUCAAAAUCAAGUGUGAGAUUUGGUUGUGUCGAGUGAAUCCACGAUUAGUGACGUGAGUGAAUCCGUUGCCCCUGGUCGAGUGAUUCCCAGGUUCUAUCCCUGUAGAGACGUGAGUGAUUCCGUCCCCCCUAGUUGAGCGAUUCCCAGGUUACUACCCCUUGUCUUUUCGAGACCCAUGGUUUUUUCUGCAUCAAGUGGCAUCAAAUAGAGAUGGCAAUUCAAACCGUUAAACUCGAUAACCGUGUAUAACCGCCUGAGAGAGGAUUUGGGUAUGAAAAUUUGGGUAUAUUAUGGAAAUGGGGAAAAAACGUGAACUUUAAUCGGUUAUGGUUUUGUAUAUGAUUAUAAGGGUCCCCAAUCCAUAUCCGUCCCCAAAUCCGAAUCCGAACCGAAUAAUAUAUAAUAUUAUUUGGUUUAUGUAAUAUAUAUAUAUAUAUAUUGUAUUUGAGUGAAGCUAUACCAUCAUUACCAUAUUCAUUAUUCGCUGCAUAAUGUAUUUAGUAUAUUAUUCGCCGCAUAAUGUAUUACAAAAUUCAUUUAUUGUUAUUGUGGAGCCAAAAAUAAUCAUAGGGCAACACAUGGAUUUUGGUAAAAAGGACAAAGUUACUCCUGAGACACACCGGUUCUCCUACGCCUGAGCAGUGGACAGUCAUUCUUUAAUCAAGCCAAGAGUGUCCAAAAAAGGUAACCAAUUCCAAAUUAUCUCAUCCAUCCUCAUCUUAGGUAAUUACUUCAUAACCUACAAAUUAUUCCAUAUACAUAGAGAUUAAUUGGCUAAUUAAUGGAUUAAUUCCUAAUUAAUCCAUUAAUCACCAAUUAAAUCACCCAUUUUCACACCUAAAACCUCUAAGGCCCGGCCACCUCCAUUCCCUAUAUAUAUGACCCUAUUUUUUCUAAAAAAAGGGUUCCACACUCUUGCAAAACUCCCAAAAACUCUCCAAAAACUUUUAUCUCUAAAUUCUAACUUUGGCAUCGGAGGUUCUUCGGCCAAAGCCUCCCAUUCAUUGUGGGCGGGUGAGGCUCUUGGCCUUGACCUAAGGUGUUAAUUGUUUUGUAGGUUCAAUUUUGUCAGGUGCAAUUUUGUCCAAGAAGAAGAAGGCGGAAAUUUGCAUUCAUAAAUUGGUGUUUUCAUUGAGAGAUGAGUACCACACUCGUAGAAGACUCUCGCAUCCAAGGUUUUCUAUUUUCUUGUCCAUUUGUAGAUUUUUCGUACGUUCUUAUUAUUAGAAUUUUUUAUUUGCAAAAAUUCUUUGAUAAAACGUAAAAGAGAAGUACAAUGGCUAGAAAUUUAAAAAAUUCAACAAAUGAAAAUUUCAACAUUUAAGAGAUGGGACCACGGCGAUUCACGAGGCUAAAUGUGACAAUAAGUGGAGCAGCACCACAACCACAAGUUUCCUCCAUGGGAACCACCGUGGUGGCUGCCUCGGUAGCCACUCGCGGUGAGGUCCAUGGCACCAUUACCGCGGCGAGGUCUAUGGCACCAUUACCACGGCCUGAGUCGUGCCAUUAAAGCAAUCCCAAUACAUGUCACUUCAAGCCCAAUGUGUUGCCAAGCCGAGCCCUAGCCUCGCACCCACAUACGCCACACGCCGAGCAGCCUACUCACGUGGCCCAGCCUGCCCCCAUGGCCGAGCCUGCUCCCGCCGAGUAGCCUACUCCUGUGGCACAACAUGCUCUAUCUAAGCAGCCCAUUCUCGUGGCACAGCCUGCUCCCUUUGAGCAUCUCAUUCUCGUGGCCCAACCUGCUCUCGCAGCUCUGCUUGCUCCCAUAACCCUGCCUGCUCCCAUGAUUUCCCAAGCAGCCCAAGUCGGCUCGAGAAUAUCUCGACCAUCCAGAGCAACCAUCAAGCCGGGGGCAUUUUUACCAUAUUUCUCCACAGAUUUGACAUUUCCCAACUCAAAUCUCAUGCCUAGAGUGUUCCAUACUUCCACUGCUUAAUGAGGCACAUUCUUUCUAAGCUCUUCCAAUCUAAAUGGCGAACAACACUUGUCUCGACAAGUCAUAAAGUUGACGAGCUCCCUUGCACAACAGACGACCUUGAUGAAUCAACUUUUGCAAUGCACCGAGAUCUAACGUGCCUUGGACAAGGUAUCCCUAAGUAGGACAAGGGUAGACGAAUCUUUCCAGCAGCAUCCCGGUAAGCAGCUACUCGACCAGCCACGAGCCGAGCGUUCGGGUAGUGUACAUUUCUGAUUAGGCCCCCAAGAUAGCAUAUACUUCCAUCUUAUAGCACGGAGGAGCGUGCACUCUCGACUAGGCCUGAGGAUAAGUAUACACUCACGAUUGGGGCUACACUUAGAUAAUCAACAUGAGCAGCCUUCCAGGCAAUGCAUUCAUUCGCAGCUAGGCCCGUAAAGAAUAUCAUCCACAUCAUAUCGGAGCAGACAACACAGCAGACGGAAAGAAGCAGUCACUCAAUCCGGCUCAAGUUCAACCAGUAGCCUGUGAGUUACACACUCGCCUGCUAGGAAUAUACCACACCCACCGUAGCCGCGGCAUAGACAAGCCGAACAUAUGGAAGAACAGCUUAGACUAUCACAUCACGAUCAGGGGCAAUCAAGAGCUCUGCCACCCCAACAAAGGAAAAUUCAGGAAGAAGUAGAAAGGCUCCUGACCAAGCGAUUGCGCAAUUUCUCGCGCCAACCAAAGCCUCAAAAGGGCACAAGAUGAAACACCUAAUGAUGGCGCAAUAAUUCAGAGAGCAGCUCAUUGCGUUUACACCUUAACGUGGGUUCCACAAACAGUUCACCAAACAAGACCUCGCAGUCUGAAGAUUAUUUCAGUUGUCUAGCAGUCCAGCUUUCCUCAGCUGCACUCACGACAACGACUUCCAUGAUUUCCAGUGCGAAAGGAUAAACUAAUUGCUCUCCAGUGCGAGAGGGUAAACCAAUUCCCCGACACCCAUAUGGGUUUGCUCUCCAAUGCAAGAAGAUAAACUAAUUGCUCUCCAGUGCGAGAAGGUAAACCAAUUCCUUGACACUCGUAUGGGUUUGCUCUCCAGUGCGAGAGGAUAAACUAAUUGCUCUCCAGUGUGAGAGGGUAAACCAAUUCCUUGACAUUCAUAUAUGUUUGCUUUCCUGUGCGAGAGGAUAAACUAAUUGCUCUCCAGUGCAAGAGGGUAAACUAAUUGCUCUCUAAUGCGAUAGGGUAAACUAAAUCCCUGACAGCCAUUUGGGUAAGCUCUCCAGUGCGAGAAGGCUGCAUAGUUUAAAAGAUCAAAUGCUUGAAGAUCAACUAAGCAACAAAUGGUUAGGGGGCAGCAGCCACUUUUACACUUAAUAGUUCGCUCAUCCGACACUUCAUUUUCAGAAACUCUGAUCUUGGCAGCUUUAUCCUUGACUGCUCCAUCUAUGGCAGUUGAAAAAUCAAACUUAAGCAGUUUCCUCAUAUUUAGCAGGCAGCCCAAACAAUUGCCUAUUCCACGCCACUUCCUCGGCCCAUGUCGAACCAAUCAUUGGCUUCAAUCCAGCCGAGUUGCUCAAGCAAUGGCCCCUGCCACAUCACCUCCUUGGCUCAUGCUAAGCCGACUCUUGGCCCCUGCCAGCUGAUGUGUCGUACCACCCUGAUUACUGCCCUGUGGCAGCACCACCCAAGAAGAAGACAAGAAGAAAUUAAGUUUUUAUUACAUUGGUGCGGCAUAGAGAAGACGAAGAAAGCAACAAAAGACGGUCAUUUGCAUGGGCAAGAUGUAGAAGAUUGCUAAAUGAGGGGGAACAAAUAUCCUCUAAACUCUCUCUCUCUCUUGUAAGGUAGAAUAAAUCACUCUCCAAAGUUGAUUUAAUAACCCACUUAAGGUGGACUUAAAUAGGUUUUGAGAGAAAUUUAUUUCCCUUUCCUAGAAUGAUCUAAUUUCAUAUUAAAGAGGGAUUCUACAUCAAAACAGGAAGCGGUUCUAAGUUUCCUAGAGCAAAAAGAUCUUUACACCUGCUGCCCUUUCUUACGAGUAGCCCAACAGGUGUGGGGGCAUUUGUGGAGCAAAAAAUUAUCACAAGGCAACACGUGGAUUUUUGGUAAAAAGGACAAAGUUACCCCUGAGACACACCGGUUAUCCUACGCGCAAGCAGUGGACAAUCAUUCUUUAAUCAAGCCAAGAGUGUCCAAAAAGGGUAACCAAUUCCAAAUUAUCUCAUCCAUCCUCAUCAUAGGUAAUUACUUCAUAACCUACAAAUUAUUCCAUAUAAAUGGAGAUUAAUUGGCUAAUUAAUGGAUUAAUUCCUAAUUAAUCCAUUAAUCACCAAUUAAAUCACCCAUUUUCACACAAAAAACCUUUAAGGGCCGGCCACCACCAUUCCCUAUAUAUAUGACCCUAUUUUUUUUCUAAAAAAGGGGUUCCACACUCUUGCAAAACUCCCAAAAACUCUCCAAAUACUUUUCUCUCUAAAUUCUAACUUUGGUAUCGGAGGUUCUUCGGCCAAAGCCCCCCCCAUUCAUCGUGGGCGUGUGAGGCCCUUGGCCUUGACCUAAGGUGUUAAUUGUUUUGUAGGUGCAAUUUUGUCCAAUAAGAAAAAGGUGGAAAUUUGCAUCCACAUUUAUGUUUUAUUUAUUUAUUAUUAAACGUGGCUAUUUAAUGACAAAAUUAGUAUUCACUAAAUUAUUGUGCGCCAAUUGGAUGAAUAUAAUUUUUUGUUGUUGACGAAGAUGGAUAUAACCAUUAAUUGAUAGGAAAUCCGUUACCCGGUGGGUAUGGUUAUGGAUAAUUCCCGAUAGUUAUUUUGCAGUUAUGGAUAUGGUUAAUUAUCAUGGUUAUGGAAUAGAUAUAAGAUUUCCGUCCCCAAAUUGAACCGUUGCCAUCCCUAGCAUCAGUGCAGGUUUUCUGCUAUGGAGUUAAAAGGAAAAAAAAAAUCAUGUUGUUGAUUCUACACUUCUCUUCAAAUUUCAGUUCUCUUUGUCCUAAUCACCCAAAAGGUUACCUAUAAUUGGAAAGGUCUGCGAGUCCACUUUCUAACAGAACAGACAGUGCCUCAAUCAAAAUUUUUUUUGCAGCAAUUUGCUAGCAAAUAGUGUAAGGUGUAUGUUUUGUGCAAAAUCUGCAAGGCGCAGUUUCGUUUUCAACGAAGAGAUAUACCAGCAUCUUGUUCCAAUGAAUAAUAAUCAGGUAUAUGAAAACCACUCUAGUAUGAUAUUUAUCGAGGAAGAUCUGUUUUAUUCACAAAGAAUUGAUUGGAAUUUACCUCCACUAUAUGAUGAGUAUUCGGAGGAUGGUGUUUUGAUGAUUCCUAUCCAAACAGGUGCUAACGUUGAAGUGAAUGUUGAAGAACAUGCUUUGAUAGAUAUUUGCAGCUUGGAAAGUUCAGAAUAUGAAGGAUUUGGAUUUUUUCAAGAUGAGAAGAUUGAUAGUCCAAUGUUAAGUUCAUCAAUAAGCUACGGGCAUGUAAAAUUGUGGUCACGGCCAAGUGAUGAAGGAGCUGUUCAAAUUUGCUUUUUAAUUCUCCAGCACAUUGUUAAAGAUCAAGUUUUGGGGACAUUACAACCGAUGGCAUAUCGUUGGGAAGGUCGAAAACCUAAAUUCAAAUUAAGAUUAAAAAGAUACAAACUCGAGGACGAGUUUUUUUCGAGAAGAGUAGAAUCAUGCAGUGCAUGGGGAACAAAUAUAUUUAAGGCUUUAGUGACUUGUCAUCUCUCAAAACCUUUGUGACCUUAUCUUUUGAUUGAAUUGCCUAGUAACUAUCCUACUAUUAAAUAUUUUGUAUACCAAUGCUUUGUAAUUUCCCUAUUUAAAGGGCUCCAAAUGUAUCUUUAAGGUAGUCAAUUAGUGAAUUAAAAAUAAUCCAAGAAGAGAGAGAGUUUUCUCCUUCCUUAAAAUCCAGUGUGAGACUUGGUCGUAUCGAGAAGAAGAAAAUGAUGCAAUGCAUGGAGAACAAACACAUUUAAGGCUUCGUGGUUUCUCAUCUUCCAAAACUUUCUGUCACCUUCUCUUUUAUGAGUUGCCUGCCUAGUAACGAUCCUAUUAUUAAAUAUUUAAUCUACCAAUGCUUUGUAAUCUCCCUAUUUAAGGGCUCCAAAUGUAUCUUUAAGGUAGUCAAUUAGUGAAUUAAAACUAAUCCAAGAAGAGAGUGAGUUUUCUCAUUCCUUAAAAUCAAGUGUGAGACUUGGUCGUGUCGAGUGAAUCCACGGUUAGCGACAUGAGUAAUUAUGUUGCCCCUAGUCGAGUGAUUCCCAGGUUCUACCCAUAGAGAAGUCGAGUGAAUCCAUUGCCAUUGGUUAAGUGAUUUCCAGUUACCCCUUGUCUUUUCGAGACCCUUGGUCUUUUCUACGUCAAGUGGCAUCAUAGUAGGUUUUUCGCUGCAGUUAAAGAUCAUGGCUAUGAUUAUCAAUCCGUUUCAAGAUCACAUCGUUGAAGAGAUUAGUUUUGUCAAUUGAAAUUCUCCGCCAAUUUAUGACAAAUAUGUUGAUGACGAUGAGUUUACUGUUGAUGUGGCUCAUCAAGGAGUUUAUCUGCUGCUAGGAGAUGAAGGCUUUGUGGAUUGGGGUUAUCCACAUAAUAUGAGUACAAUGGCGGAAACAUUUUACAUGUAGCUUCAUAAAGAGGAACUAAGGUGUACUUGCUUUGGAAUAACAUGGAAGCGGAGUUCAAAGGAAUAUUUUGUGUGACAGAACAACUUGGACUGCUCUGGAUUUGCUUUUGCUAUUGUGGCUGUUGUGGAAAAAAAUUGAAAGGUAUCCAAAAGAUCGAGGAAAACAAAAUCAAAGGAAACUCGAGGACGAGUUUUUGUUCGAGAAGAGGAAAAUGAUGCAGUGCAUGGAGAACAAAUAUAUUUAAGGUUUUCGUGGCUUCUCAUCUCCCAAAACCUUUGUGACCCUCCCUUUUAAUUGAAUUGCCUAAGUAACUAUCCUACUCUUAAAUAUUUAGUAUACCAAUGCUUUGUAAUUUCCCUAUUUAAAGGGCUCCAUAUGUAUCCUUAAAGUAGUGAAAUUAGUGAAUUAAAGUUAAUCUAAGAAGAGAGUGAGUUUUUUCCUCCUUAAAAUCAAGUGUGAGACUUGGUUGUGUCGGAUGAAUACACGAUGAACGACGUGAGUGAAUUCGUUGCCCCUAGUCGAGUGAUUCCCAAGUUUUAUUCCCAUAGAGACGUAAGUGAUUCCGUCCCCUCUGGAUGAAUGAUUCUCAGAUUACUACCCCUUUAUCUUUUCGAGACCCUUGGUCUUUUUGCAUCAUGGACCCCAAGUUAUAAUAUUCCUAAAAUAGUCAUUCCAAUUUGUCUUGUCAAUCACAAUUAAUUUGUUGAGCUAAUUUUGUUGUGUACGUGUAAAAUAAGCCAAUCAGUGUCCUUUUUAUAUCUAAAAAAUUGUAUAAUCCUACAGAGAAUAUUUAUAUUAGGCCUCAGCAAUUGAUAUAAAAGGCAACCUGUAUGAACACAUUCUUAGAGUCAAUAAUAGCAGAGCUUCUUAGAGGGGAAAGUAGAUAGGUUGUAAAACAAUGUCCUGGUUUCUUACAGUCAUCUUUCUGGUCACUACUCUUACAUUUCAUACUCCUUCAGAGGCUAUCUAUGAGGAGAUUCCAGCCUUCUGCAGUAGUUGUGGGAACUGUCUACUGUGACACAUGUUUCCAAGAGGAUUUCUCAAAUACCAGCCAUUUCAUUUCAGGUAAAUUCAUCUCAAAUUUUCAACAAGUUCUUCAUCAAGUUUUAUUUUUCUAUUGUAGCCAGUUCAAUAAUUUCCAUACACCCCUUCUCUUCUUCUAUACACACUCAUGUUUAUAUUUUAAUCAUUAAAUUUGAAUAAAUCAGAGAAAAAUUAAAAGAAGGAAAUAAACAAAAGUGUACAAAUGGAGAAAAUGUAAAAUCUAAAUUGACUGAAAACCUUUAUACAGGUAUUUCCUACGAGUCAACCAUACAACUACGAAAAAUUAAUUAACACAAAUCAACAGCAAAAAAAAUCUCACUUAAACUAAUUCCUUGACGGUAGGAUUCUGCUUUCAAUCACGAUUUCUUUCCAACAGACAACAAAACGUUGGAAGUUAUGUCAUCGUAACUUGUCAUUUUAUUGUCAGUCAACAAAACUUCCUGACAUGAUAUGGAUGCAUUAUCCAUCAAUAAUCUUGUGGGGGUUUUUGUGCAGGGGCUUCUGUUGGUGUGGAAUGCAAAGAUGGGACUUUAACAAAACAAAGUUUCAACGCACAAGUGAAAACAAACAGCCAUGGGCAGUUCAAAGUCCAUCUGCCCUUCUCAGUGAGCAAAGAUGUCAAGAAAAUUGAAGGAUGCUCCGUGAAACUAAUCCGCAGCAGUGAACCCUACUGUGCUGUGGCCUCAUCAGCCACCUCAUCUUCCCUACACCUCAAGGCAACAAAACAAGGGACUUACAUAUUCUCUGCUGGUUUCUUCACCUUCAAGCCUCUCAAGCAACCCAGCUUAUGCAACCAGAAACCCAACAUUCAGAAUUCCAAGAAAUUAAAUUCCCAGAAGUUCUCAGAGAUGGCAUUCCCAUCCUCCUCUCAGGUGGACCCCAAAAUGCCUGAUCCCUCUCUCAACCAAUCUGAUCUCCUAGGUCUCCCAGGUCUCCCAGGUCUCCCAGGUCUCCCAGGACUCCCAGGUCUCCCAGGUCUCCCAGGACUCCCAGGACUCCCAGGACUCCCAGGUCUCCCAGGCCUCCCAGGACUUCCAGGCCUGCCCCUUGCUGCUGAAAAAACUUCAUCCAAGUCCUCCAACUCCAAAACUUCAAGGAAUGGGCAACUAGGUGAUAAUAAAGAAGUCAGCCCAUCCAGAUUCUCCACCAGCAGGUUCAGCACCAUGAUUCCCAACCUACCACCUAUCCUGAUUUCUGUUGGGUUCCUAUCCUAUUGGGCGUAACCCGUUUAAGUAGAAUAAGCCCAUUUAGGUCUUCUGAGUUGUGGUUUCCUGAAGUUCUAUGUAUUUAGGUCUCUUCCUUCUCUUUCGAGAAUUAUGUGAAAUAUUGAAUGUUUAAGUUUUAUCUGCUUUUCCCAUUUUCUCUCUACUUUUCCCUCUUUCUUCUCUAACGAGAAUGUGUCGUUCAUAGACAGCUACAAGUACGGUAAUAUAAUACGAUUCAAUUAUUAGUUAAAUACAAUGAUUAUAUCGUUGAAACUUAAAAUUUCAAGAUAAGAGAUUCAAAGAUAAUAUAAUAUAUAUAUAUAUAUAUAUAUAUAUAUAUAUAUAUAUAAUAUUAUAUAUAUCAAUUAUUGUUGAAUCUUACCCAAGGAUGAAAAAGGGUAUGGGUAUUCUUUGCAGGGGUGGAAAAACAGAAGUGGGUCGGCCAUGCUUUUACUAUGUGGGCCCCUUAGAGAAAACCUGCUAAAAAUGAACCGUUUCAACAGAAGGAGGCAAAUAGCUGUACGGAACGACGACGUCCCUGAAUUAAGGUCAUCUUCUUCGAGUGCGGACGAGCCGUAUCACAUACCUUUCCUGUUUCCAUCGAGUUUGAUCUACUUCAACUUCUGUUUCGACAGAGUAGCAGGGUAAUGAUUUUGGGAAAAAAAUUUAAGGUUAGGGUUUUGGAGAAUAAUUUUGUGACUAGGGUUUUAGGGUUUUGGAUUGUUUUCACAAAAUCAUUCUCCACUGGUGAAAUAAAUCACCAUAAUAAUAGCAGUAGGCUAUGAUUUUAACUUAAUCAGUACCCAAAUGUAAAAUUUUAUGCUUAUUUCCGCAAAUACUAUUAACAAUUUAACAUGGAGUUUUAAUUUUUUAUGAAAUUUUUGUAGUUGAUUGGGUUUGUAUGAUGAAUAUUAGUGUUUUGAGCCACACUUGUUAGUCCAACUUCAAGCAAAUUUGCAAUCAGCAAGUCCAUUCUCUCUAGCUGCGACCUUCCUUGCAAAGGGAGGAAUCUUAACAGAGUCUUCAACCCUUCCCCAAAAGCUAUGAAUAAAGUCUUUAGCGACGACGGUCCAAUUAAGCACUCUAACUUUGGCCUUAUUGGUAUCGGAACGGGCCUCCCUGGAUCAGUGACAGCCGCCGCAGCUUCUACUGCCGUAAAAACUGUUCUUCACGUACCUUGACACUAACCACUUUUAUGGUGACUACUGCGCCUUUCUUCCCAUUGAUGAUUUGACUGUCUACCUAAAUUCUCAUGCUUCCCAACCCUCCGCCACUACUACCACCAAUUUCACCUCUACAAGUACAAGCCAUGAUGAUUGCAUCGCCUUACCCCUCACCCGCCAGUUGCUGUACGCCGAUACAGAGACCGUUACAUAUGCCCCUUAAGUCCUUGCACAAUAUAAUAGAAGCAAACCUCGGUCAAAUAAUAUAAACUUGAACUCCAUUUUGAGCAUUGUGAGAUAAGGGAAUGUGCUAGAAACUAUUAUGUUAAAUUCAUUCUUAUUAAACCUUUCAAAUAUGUGAUGUUUAUUAAUAAGCAUUUUAGGAAUAUCUAUGACUAUGUUUUUAGAUUGUUUGUACCAUACUUGACCAAUCCCGACACUACUAAGCACCGGUCAACGUUAUACCGUCAAGGACCUAGAAGAGUUUCCCUCCAACCAGGAGGCCAAUCACAGCGCGACACGUGUUGACAUCAGAAGCCAAUCAUAGCGCGACACGUGUCAACAUAAGAAGCCAAUCACAACACGACACGUGUUAAUGUCAGAAUGAAACUAGAAACUCUCUUCUAUAAAUAGAGAUCAUUCUCUCACAAUAUUUCCUAAUGUCAUUUGUACUAAAUCAUUCACUAGUACUCACUAAAGGAGAGCUUGAACCUAUGUACUUGUGUAAACCCUUCACAAUUAAUGAGAACUCAUCUACUCCGUGGACGUAGCCAAUCUGGGUGAACCACGUACAUCUUGUGUUUGCUUUCCUGUCUCUAUCCAUUUACAUACUUAUCCACACUAGUGACUGGAGCAAUCUAGCAAAGGCCACAAACUUAACACUUUCUGUUGUACCAAAGUCCUCACCGAUUUUGUGCAUCAACAUUUGGCGCCGUCUGUGGGAACGACACUUAUUCUCACUCUCUUCAGCUUUGUUAAGCUGGUUUCCACCAUUUGUACACUCUCUUUUGACCAGGCAUCCCUCUCCAACAUGGGGAGCGACGGAAGCCACAACACACAGAAUGACACCCUUCUUGCACCUAGUGUGAAGCAACGAAAGAAGGAAGGAAAGAGGGUUGCUUUUCAAGCUAAAGUCGAUGAGCUAGAAUCUUAAAACAACAAGAUAGCAAUGAAGAAUGAGGUCCUCCAAGAGCAGUAUGAGAAGCUCUUUAAGAUGCUCCACGAAACUAGGCGUACUCAAACACGCGAACUCGUUACCCCUGUGGACAUCAACCAUCAUCUGGAUACCUCCCAACAAGGAGGGUCACCUUCCUUCGACAUGGGUAUCCCUGAUGAGGAGCGAGCUAAUCAUCAAAACAUUGAUCAACAUGAGACUUCUUUCAACUCAGAUGCUUCGACCCGAAACAGGAGAAGUGGAGGAAGACACCUUUUUGCAGAAAGGUUGGAAGGAUCGAAAUCCAUUUAUCAUGACUGCCGAGACUUCCUAAAGCAACGUCAAGAGAAUCUCCUCCACAUAAGCUCGAAGAUCAAUGACCCAAGGGUUUCUGAAAGACUUGGUCCCCUCCCACGUCCCAGGCCGGCUACCAAUUUGGGGAAAGGGCAACAAGUCCUAGAGAAACACGAAGGUAUAGGGGGCUCAGAGAUGUUUCGACAGACAUACCUUGAAAGUCAGUACGGCGAGUCCAAGGAAAAAUCACAUGCUCUUGAUCAAACCUUCAUACUUCCAAGAGGAGAUGAACAUUUACGAAAGAAAGCUCAAGUGGUACAUGACUCCACUCAAGACCUUCUUGUCAUACAGCUUCUUAAGGAAGUAAACAAGUUGAAGGCCGAACGACAAGCUGAGAUACCUGAUUGGAACCAACCUAGGCCUGGCCCUCUUACAAGGAGGAUCCUCGACACCCCCUCCAAACAAAGACAAAGCAGAAGCUUGGCUUGCAACUCUAUACUGGAAAAGAGGACCCGAUUGAACACCUUAACCUCUUUGAGUCCACCAUGGCAUACCGGAUGCAUACCAACGAAGAGCGAUGUCUUCUCUUCCCCUCCACCCUCUCUGGCGGAGCUCUAAACUGGUAUUGUCGUCUUCCACCUGAGACGGUAGACUCAUUUGAGGAAUUGAGGAAACUGUUUGUUUCUCAACACAUUUUUCAGACUGAUCGCUUACAUUUUGCAGAUGACUUGUACACUAUUCGCCAGAAGCCGGACGAGUCACUACGAGAGUAUGCCAAUCGCUUUAGCCAUGAGUAUUCUCGAUGCGCUGAGGUAGAUGACAAGAUCGCCCUCAAGGUCUUCACGGCAAGCCUUCGUGAUUGUUUCUUCAAGUACAUGAUCAAUGCCAACACUUGGAAGACUUACUCUGAGGUGAUGGCAUAGGCUUACAACCAUGCAUCCGCCGAGGCAAGGACAUAUCAAGGGAAACCCCCCACAGCCACCCCUUAUCAGCAAGUAGGGAGUGGAAGCCAGAUCCAACCAAAUGAGAAGACCUCGACCUUCCAAACAGCAGCGGUGCCUCCCUCUGCCUUACUUAAUAUUUUGCCAAGUCAACAGACAUAUCAAUCUCAGGGCAAAAGGAAAGAUUUCUAUCCUCACCAGUCUCAUUUUAGUAAAAUGAGUAAGGGACACUACCGCGAUAACCAAGGGUAUCACCACGAUAAUCCCCGACCCCAGGCAGUCAACACAGUGGGUCAAGCACGUGUCCGGAUAGCCCAUACCCCGAGGUAUGAGGCAUACACACCUUUGAACGCCACAUGCGUGGCCAUUUACCCCAGCAUAGCACACCUGAUACCGAAGCCAAAGCCGAGGCACCUGGAUUACAAGUCCACGAAGAACACAGGCACAUUUUGUUGCUACCACGAGUAUAACGGCCAUGACGGUGAAAAGUGUAUCACCCUUCGAGAUCAUAUUGAAGCUUUGGCAUGUGAAGGAAAAAUUGAUCAAUUCCUCAUUCACUCUUCAAGGGGUAACCGUAACCAACCCCAGGUGAAUGUGAUAUAUUCCAUAAGUGGUGACACACCCAUAUCUAAAUCUUCCAACAGGGCCAUGAAAAAUAGUGAACGAGCUUUAAGGUAUGGCCACCAAGUGUUUCACGUGGAAGACAUUAGGGGAGGCAAGCAUCAAAAGCCUAACUGGGAUCUAAUAUGUUUCUACCUUGAGGAAGAAAGAGGUAUCAUCUACCCUCACCACGACCCAUUGAUCGUGGAAGCUCACAUAACCAACUUUAAAGUACGACGAAUCCUAGUAGACACGGGGGCUUCGGUCAAUAUCAUGUUUGCCGAAGUUUUCAGGGCACUUAAUGUAGCUGAACACUUGCUCGAUCGCUCGAUUUCCCUUCUGAUAAGCUUCUCCGGUGAUAUCGUGCAACCUUUAGGGAGCAUACACUUACCUUUCACCAUUGGUACAUACCUUUACACAUCUACCAUUACCACUAACUUCCUGGUGGUUGAUUGCCCAACGACAUACAAUGUCAUCUUGGGACGCACAUGCAUCAAUGAUCUCAAGGCCAUGGUAUCCAUAUAUAUGUUGUUGAUAAAAUUUCCAACCCACUAUGGCAAUGGUUACAUCAGAGGAGAUCAACUUAGUUCACGAUCAUGUUACAACACUUCGGUCAAGCAACAACACCUGCAUGUGCCCAAGGAAACCCUUUCUAUACAUGACCAAGUCAUAAAAACCAGCCCAGACGAAGCCAACUUGGAUCUUCACGGUGGCAACAGUCAACCCGAUGAUCCUCGAGAUGACUUUUUUACCCAGCAAGCACAACCCACUGAAGAGUUGGAGAAGGUCUCUAUAUUAAAAGAUUAUCCGGAUCGCAUGGUGAAGAUUGGCACCACCUUGUCACUACCCAUUCGGUUGGCAUUGAUCUCUUUUUUGCAAGAGAACACUGAGGUUUUCGCCUGGUCAUACGAGGACAUGCCAAGCGUCUCUCCCGAUAUCAUUUGUCAUCGCUUAAGUAUUGACCCCAAAACCAAGCCAGUGAGACAGAAGCGAAGAUCCUAUGACGUUGAAUUUGUAGGAGACAAUGAAGGCAGAAGUUGAAAAAGUCAAAGGCAUAGGCUUCGUCCGCGAAGUCAAUUAUCCAAUGUGGGUAGCAAAUGUUGUCCUUGUUAAGAAGAAUCCGACCAAGGAAAGUCUCCUACUCCAAAAGGUCUUGUGGAGAAUGUGUGUCGAUUACACCGACCUAAACAAAGGAUGCCCGAAUGAUAGCUUUCCUCUUCCUCUCAUAAAUAUACUUAUAGACUCUACAACAGGGUGUGAACUCCUGAGCUUCAUGGAUGCUUACUCAGGAUACAACCAAAUCCUUAUGAACCCUCUGAACCAAGAACACACAACCUUCACUACUGACAGGGGACUAUAUUCACUAGUACAAAAACAUGUUUGCGCGACGAAAACUUACGCGACGCAUAAAAUUACGUCGCGCAAAGCCGUUUUGCACGACGUAGGUGUACGUACGUCGCGCAAAACGUCUUUGCGCGACGUAAUUUUACGCGAUGCUGUCCUUCGUCGCGUAAACUUUUGGUGCCAAACCAAAAGAAUUUACCGUUUUUUCCCAACUUUGUGCGACGCAUGCCCACUUACGUCGCGCAAAGUUGUUUUGCGCGACGUAGGUGGGGAUGCGUCGCGCAAAGUCAACAACUUUUUUUCUUUUCAUUUGAUCAGUUUGGGAGGCAGAAACUGCAUACCUAGCUGCAGCAACUACCUCCAUUGCCCAUCUCUCUCUUCAAAACCGUCUACCAGAUCAGGUUUGAAGUUUGAAUUGAUAUCAAUUCUUUGUAUUUUUUCGAUUGCAAUCCUUCCCCUUUGCUCUUAAACAUGAUGUAAACUGAAUUAAUAAUAUGUAGAUCCUUCAUGUGAUUCAUUUACGAAAUUGAAAUUGCAAAAUCAAAGGAGAUAACUAUCUUGCUGAUUUUCUUUUUCUCUAUACACCAGAUCUCUUCUUUCUGUAGCGACUUAUUUGUUCGUACAUAAAAGCAGAGGUGAUAAAUUAGUUGGGGAAGACAAAUAGGCUUAUAUCCAGGUGAGGAGGACCCUGAGCACAGCUUAAGAAAUUACUAGGAAUAGCAUUGUGAGGCCUAAAUGUCAAUUGGCCAGGACUCCAUACAUGCGCAAUUUUGGUCUUUAGUAAAAACAUCUAAAUGAUGAUGGGUAUGUCCUUGAUGAAGUACCCGGUUAGCUGUUUUUACGAAGGACAAAAUACCGUAUAUGUAUGGAUUCAAACGCCACCAUCAAAUGGAUAAGAAAUUAGCGUCCAAUCCAUCGAAGCAAUUCAUGAUGUCUCCAACAUGUUGGAAGAUUUAAUUGGCAAUGGGAAGUUAGACCCAUUGAGAUGACGAAGAUGGUUUUCUCACGACGUUAAGAGUAGAAGUGUCAUCUUGAGCUCCUAAUCAAUUGUUAUAUUCCUACUGUAUAUGGUUAAUUUAUGUCUCCACCACUCAUGUAUCAUUCUUUGCAUGCGAUCCAAAAAUAAGGAUUCAAUGACCAAAAAACAUGGUUGUUGCAAAUUCAUCCAAAUUCAUGGGAAAUAAAUUAUGCUUAUAUCUUUCUCAUGAUGUGUACAUAUUAUUGAAUUGAUCUAUUCAUUUGUCAAAAAAGUGAACUAGUCGUGUUUAAUUACAUCAAAUUUGUCAAGCUGAUGUUGCCUAGCUGGUAUUCGUGUCGCCUACUUGCCAAUACGUUGAAAAUACACUCACUACUUGCAUAGAAUUUCAUAAUUGUAGGUUGUAUUUGGCUUGGAGACAUUGUGUUUUUACUUUCUUUACCAUAUUUUGGUUCAGAAAACCAGCAGUUCCGAUGACUGGAGGAAAGUCACUCUUCAGCUGGUACUCACAUUAGUUACGCGAACAAGAGCUACUGCUUACGUAAGGUUAAUGAUGGUGCUUGUCUUACUAACAGUUUCACAAUAAGUGAAUCCGUGAUAGGUGACAUGGUUUUCUGAUAAGUUGCAGUCUUUUGGAUAUUAUGCAAGCUAUUGCAGAUAUGAAUGGUGCAGAUAUUCGUCUUACUCUUCAAUCAUUCAACAGCCACUGAGCACAGCUUAAGAAAUUACUAGGAACAAGAGCACGGCUUAGCGGCCUUCUUUUAGUGUAGAUAAUAUCAUUUGUUAGAGAAAUUUUUUAUAUAUAUAUAACAAGGAAGAAAAUGAAAGAGGACAAAUAAUAAGAGAGCAGACACACGAUCGCCUACAAACUUCCAUGUAAACCCAGCCUGCUUUAUUCGUUUUUUCAGACCGAUUAAACAAAGCACAGAACUUAUUCCUCCUUUUUUAAUCCCUUAUUAAUCCCAAGUCUAUGUCUUAAGACAUUCUUUAUCUUCAACUACUUGCAUGUUUGACAUAUCUUAAUAAUAUUUCGUGUGUAACAUUUAGCUCUGAGUACUUAUCAAACAGACAUUAAGAUGCUGCCAAUCCUCAGACUGCAGCCUAUCAUCAUUUGAACACUUGUUCAAGUUUACAGUUUUGAUCCCCUGUCAACACCUACUCCCUUCUUUGUUUUGAUCCAACACCUUAUUUCAAAUCUGCAAAUAGUCACUUGCUAAGAGAAUGAGCAAUGUAACUGUUGCAUUUAGAAGUCGGAUUGUGUCAGUCGAGUGUAAGCAGGCAAUGAGCCUUUUAGUAACGCCAUCUUCUUAUGUUCAUAGAAGUCAGCAGUCUGCAAGUUUAAGCACCUUGUUUGUACAGUUUUACGUUUGUGUACCUAGUUCCAUUCAUAAGUCAGAUUUUAUCAGUUGAUUGCAAAUGCAAUCAGCAAGCAGAAUAUGUCAAUGUAUUUAGUAACAAAUGUCUCAUGCUUAGUAAAUGACUUGCGUAUUAUCUUCGUAAAUUGGCUUUCAUAACUUGUAUAAGAUUAGCAGCAUCCAUAAAUUUCUGUAGGGAAAGUUUUGAAAUUGGAUUUGUGCAUGAUAUGGGAAUUUGUGAGGAUGUAUGUUUGCUCUUGUUGUCUGUGGUCCUCCCCUGCCUUUUUCUUUAGGUUUGGUUAAAGUCUAAGCUACAUCUCUUUCUUAUUAUAAGUCGCAUGCAGAGAGAGAAGAUGAUGACGAUGGUCCUGUAUGUAUAUAUAUAUAGCUACCUCUUCUUUAUUUUUAUGAUUAUAUGAUUACUAAUUAGUCAUUUUACGUUGAUCAUAUUGAUUAAUCUAGAAUGUUAAAUCUAGUAUAUUGUUCUUGCAGACUUGUAUUUUGAAGGUGAGCAUAUGUUGUUUAGGGGGUUCCAAGCUAUGGCCACCCCACUUCACUAAGCUGUGGCCUCCCAAGUUCAUAAAAACAAAGACGGCUAUUACAUGUUGCAAAGGAUGUGCUCACAAAAUCAAGAAGAAAUUGCAGAACUUAACGGUACAAAAUCAGUUUUUUACUUCCCUCUUGCAGUUGAUCAUCAAAUUAGGAAUAUCUGCACAGAUAAAACCGGUUAAAAAUUCUUAACAAAAAUUAAACUAGGAAACGAUUUUAUUAGAACUUUGUAAUUGGUUCUGUUUGUUCUUAUGGUAUUAGUUUGUUUCUUUUCACUUGUUACUGCCUUUUGUAAUCAACUUUUUCACUGUCAUUAUUUACUCUGAUUGGUGAUGACAGAGGCAUGGCUAUUGUAUCUCAUAUAAGAGGAGAACUAAUAAGGAGAACUAAGGACUAAAUUAAGAGAUAGAUACGUAAAGUGAAAUAAAGGGUGCAUAAAUCACUUUAUAUUAAAAUGAAGUCUAAGAGACAUUUAACUACAUUUGAGAUGUCACAGUGUACAUAAAUCACUUUAUUUUCUUCGCUAAAUUAAUUUUUAUUAAUUUUAUCUAUUUUAUUUAGUUUUAGUAAUUAUUGUGAUUUAGUUUAUUUGUAUGCACAUAUUUUUGUACAUCACCUACAAAAUUGUUUUGUGUUGUACUAAGUUAAUACUACUUAACUUCAUACCCUUUUCUCAGGAAAAGCUUAGUUUCCCGUUUGAGAAUUAGUUGGAUUUCGUGCAUGGAUGUGAAAGCAUGACUGCGGUCCAAUUAAUUAUUGAAUUGUCCCAUUUUUUGGACAGUUUGGGAAUGCCCUAGUUAUGUGUUGUAGUUUGCGGUCCACAGAUUAGCUUUCGAUAGUGGAAAUUUUGGUAACAUUUCCCGAUGUUCUUUGAGUACACGGUGGAUAUUAUGUAUCUACGACGUGCACUUGAAGAACUGUAAGGAGAUGCUGGGAAAUUAGCCCACGUCGAAAUUUAAUCCAUUGGAAUCGUAAAUUACGGCACAUAACUGUGCAUUCUUGAAUGGGAUAGGGCCCUGACCAGAGGAAUAAGGUGACAAGACAAUAGUUUUCAUGUCCUAAUCUGUCUCAUAAUUUGCUUCAAUUGUACUUAAUUCCAAUUUUUGAAUAAAAUGAAUGAAUGCCAGCAGCGGUGUAGAUUUUCAAUGGCAUCCAAUUUCAUAUAGUUUAAUUAGUUAUAUCUCCAUUUACCUAUAUACCUAUUCAUUCCAAUUUUAUAUGAUCGCUUGAUGCAAAACUUUUCUAGAUAUUAUUAGUUGUAGCAGUUGCAUCUCUUAAAGAUCUAUACAACUUAUUCUCACUGGUUCACGGUGGAUUUUGCAGUUACUUCUCGAGCGUGGGGAAGCACGAAGGGUUAUUCCUUGGUAACACAUUUAUAAGGAUUCCGUUGUAGACGUUGUUGUAAUUCUUGUACUUUUAUUCGGAUUGCAGACAAAAUGGACAAACAGUGGAUACAUAAUCAUAAUAGAUGUGUUGUUGAGUACUUGGAUGGAAUACAUGCGUUCAUUGAAUUCGCAACUAGACAUAACCUAGGUUCAACUCAUAUCCGAUGUCCAUGUAGGAGGUGUAACAACUCAACGUGGGAGACAUUCAAGAAUGUUUGAUUUCAUUUAGUAAGAAAUGGGAUGAUGGAGACCUAUACUACUUGGUGUCAUCAUGGAGAACGAUUAGACCAAGCUUCGUCUUCAUACGUGACACGAGUGGAAACUGUUGAAUCAAAUGUGGAUCCUAAUGAACAAGUUAUGAAUAUUCUAAAUGACGUUUAUUCAUACGCCUCGAGCAACACCAAUCAGGAAGAGGGAGAAGAGGGAGAUGACGGCCGUCCAACCAUGGACAGUGAGGCAUUCAAAAACUACGAAAAACUAUUGAAAAAUGCCAAGCAAGAAUUAUAUCCAGGUUGUGAGAACUUUUCAAUGCUCACAACAAUUGUGGAGUUGAUGCAUGGCAAGAUCAAGUUUCGUUUGUCAAACAAGUGUUUUGAUUACUUUUUGGGAGUUAUCAAAAGGAUGGUUCCAAAGGAGAAUUGUUUACCUAAAGAUCAUAAAAGUGCCCAAAAAGUGUUGAAGGGUCUCGGAUUGGGGUAUGAAAAAAUUCAUGCAUGUGUAAAUAAUUGUAUAUUGUUCUAUAAGGAGAACAAAGCAUUGGAUAAAUGCCCUGUCUGCAAUGAGCCGAGGUUUAAAAUGACAUCACAGAAUAGAAACACCAAGAUUCCACAAAAAGUAAUGCGCUAUCUUCCAUUGAAGCCUAGGUUGCAGCGAUUGUACAUGUCGAUGCAUACCGCAACCGACAUGAGAUGGCAUAAAGAAGGAUGGGUAAAUGACGAUGUUAUGAGGCAUCAUGCAUAUGGAGAGGCAUGGAAAGAAUUCGAUCGGAUGUACCCUGAUUUUGCAGCUGACCCGCGCAACGUCAGAUUGGGACUUGCCACCGAUGGAUUUAAUCUGUUCGGGGUUUUAAACCUAAUGCACAACACUUGGCCGGUCAUCGUGUUUCCUUAUAAUUUGCCACCUUGGAAGUGCAUGAAAAAAGAAUACAUGAUGUUAAUUCUAUUAAUUAACAAAGAUCCAGGAAAGUCCAUUGAUGUUUAUUUGCGGCCGUUGGUUGAUGAGCUAAAAGAUUUAUGGGAAAACGAUGUUUGUACAUACGAUAAAUAUACUGGGCAGAUGUUCACCAUGCGAGCGGCAGUGAUGUGGACAAUAAAUGAUUUUCCCGCUUAUGCAAUGGUUUCUAGAUAGAUGACUAAGGGUUAUUUGGCAUGUCCAAUAUGCAAGGAGAACGUAACAUCAUCUUGGCAUGCAAGAAAAGUUUGUUAUCUUGGUCAUCGUAGAUGGCUCCCUUGGGACAACGAGUGGCGUCAGAAUGAUAAAUCCUUCGACAGCACAAAAGAAACUCGGCCAAGACCAAGAGAAUAAUCCAGAGAUGAGAUUUUGGAUCAGUUAAACCGUUUGGAAUUUGGUCAUUUCGGCAAAGGGGUCAGUAACCCCAAACCAACUACACAUCUGAACUGGACACACAAGAGUAUGUUAUUUGAGCUUCUGUAUUGGUCAAAGUUAAAAUUGAGACGCAACCUCGAUGUUAUGCAUAUUGAGAAAAAUGUGUUUGACACUUUGAUCGGGACAAUUCUAGACAUUGAAAGAAAAACAAAAGACACGAUCGAAGCUCGCCUCGAUUUGGAACGAAUGGGUAUUAGGUCAUCCUUGUGGAUGAAGAAUGUCGGUGGUACAUUGAAGAAAGGCCAUCCCUUUUUUACAUUUAAGCCGAAUGGGAAAAAAGAGUUUUUCAACUUUAUUUCUUCUGUAAAGUUUCCAGAUGGGUAUGCUUCCAAUAUCUCGCGUUGUGUGAACGUGAAGGGGUGUAAAUUUCAAAACAUGAAGAGUCAUGAAUGUCAUGUGAUACUCCAACGCCUUCUUCCAGUUGGUAUUCGACACUUAUUGCCUCUUGAUGUGGUGAAACCAAUCGUGUUGUUGUCGAGAUUUUUUUCGCAGUUGACUGCAAGGUGUUUGUGGAAGUCAGAUGUUAAACAAUUGCAGGACGACAUAGUGAACGUCUUAUGCAAGUUCGAACAGAUAUUUCCCCCAGCUUUCUUUACAAGUAUGAUUCACGUGAUGAUUCACUUGCCAGAUGAGGCAUUGCUUGCCGGACCAGUGAACUGUCGAUGGAUGUAUCCAAUAGAAAGGUACUUAAUUAAGCGUCUAUAUAUAUAUAUAUAUAUAUAUAUAUAUAUAUAUAUAUAUAUAUAUAUAUAUAUAUAACAUAUUCAUGAUCAACGAACGCUUUGAAUAAUUUGUAGCAUACCUUUUAUUUGUGCAUAUAUCUUGGUGAGUUGAAAACUUGUGUUCGAAACAAGGCAAAGCCCGAAGGAUCACUUGUGGAUGCAUGGGUCACAUAUGAGUCACUUACUUUUUGUGCAAUGUAUCUUGAAGAUGUUGAGACAGCUUUCAAUCGUCCAGAACACAAUAAUGAUGGUGGUGUCAGAAAAGAGAAACUGUCUAUUUUUCCCCAAAUUGCACGACCAUUCGGCGAUCCUGUAAAAGACGAAUCGUUUACCAAAAAGGACAUGGAGGUAGCGCAUUGGUUCAUACUCAACAAUUGUGACGAGGCUUUGCCAUACCUUGAAGAGCAUGAACAAUUGAUGAAGCGGGAACAUCCUUCACAUUUAUAUGCCAAGAAGCACCGUGACUUGUUUCCUUCGUGGUUUCAUGCACAUGUAAGUUGUAUGUGGUUUGAAUUGAGCAUAUUUUCCAACUUGUUCAUGCCCGUCUUUAAAUUUGGUUAUACUAACAAGUUAAUUUUUUGUAUAUGUUAUAUUAGAUGAACAAAUUGAAGGAAUUGAAUUCACCCUCUUACGAUGAAGAAUUAUAUAACUUGGCGAGAUGACCGCUUCACGUUGAAUUGUUCUCAGGUUGUCAUGUCAACGGGAUCAAGUUCUUGGGGGAAACACGUGAUGACAAGUUGUCUACUUAAAAUAGUGGUGUCCAUGUCCCAGGUGCGGGUGAUAGUGAAGACAUUGAUUUUUUUGGCAAACUAACUAGUGUAGUACAAUUGCUUUACAAAGAUAGGUGUCAAGUGAUAUUGUUUAAGUGUCUUUGGUUUGAUACAAACCCACAUAACCGAACGAGUGUUAAGCGAGACCAUGGUUUACUAUCAGUAAACAUUAUGAGACAUUGGUACGAUGAAGACCCAUACAUUUUGGCAACAAUGGCAAAACAAAUAUUCUAUCUAGACGACCCUAAAGCUGGCAAUGGUUGGAAAGUUGUUCAAAAGAUUGAUCGAAGAGGGCUAUAUGAUAUUCCAUAACAAGAUCAUGAUGACAAUUACGAUAACGUCGCUGACCAACAGUUAUCAUCUUCGAUAGAAAUUGGUGAAGAAACACUCCGGGAUACUAAUAUUGUCCAAGAACCGUUUGACGUAGUUGGAUUUCCUGAAUUCGAAAUAUCAAUUGACCUUGGUGAUCUACCUCAAUACAAUGCAUCGGAAGAGGAAAACGAAGAUGAAGACAAAUGGGAAUCCGGAAAUGAUAGUAGUGAGGAUAGCGAGAGUAAUUAUUGUAGUUCAGAUGAUGAUUAAUAUAAACUUGUAAAGAAAAAUCGUGCUUUUUCGUUUAUAACCGUCAAAAAGUUUUGUCCCUUUACAUAAUCUCUGAAUGUUUGUUUUUUGCAAUUUUUGGCGUCUGCGAUCUCGAAGCAUAUACAAACAAGUUUGACGGUUGGAUAGUUGAAAUUAGUUUUGUACAAUGCGUUUCCCAUCAAGUUCAAUGGUAUAUAUAUUUACUAAGUUGAUUUUAAUUUAUUUAUUUUGUACUUAUAACACUUAAGAAAUUUAAUGAUAUAUAUGUAAAAAAAAAAUUAUUGUGAGUUUUUGUUAGAAAAAUAUAUUAUUGUGGGGUUUAUGUAAAAUAAAUUUGAAUUUGAAAGAAGUAAAAUCACAUUUUUAGUAAUUUUUAUAAUAUUUAAAAAAAAAUAAAAUAAAAAAACCUUGCGCAACGUCUUAAUGUAGUCGUUGAGCAAAACUACUUUGCGUGACGUCAAUUUGUAUACCUACGUCGCGUCAUGUGAUAAUUUUGGCGCUCUAAUAGUGAAAAAUAGGCGUUUGUUUUCAAUUUUCCAAGUUUGGCAAACUUUUGAACCCCAUAGAUCUCUCUCUUCCCGUAUACCUCUCUCUUCCCACUCGCUCUUUCUUUCCCGCACGUAGACAUGCAUCUCUCCCUCUCGCUCUUUCUUUCCUGUACGUAGACCUGCAUCUCUCCCUCUUUCUCUCUCUUUCCCGUAGACCUCUCUCUCCUCUUCGCAACCUUCAACCCCCAAAUCUCAAAGCCGACGCGACGUAGGUUCCCAAAAUCAAGGUAAGGGUUUCUCAUUUUCGAUGGGUUUUUGUUAUUUAGGGUUUAGGGUCAAAUUGCAUGUUGAUUUCUGAGUACUUUGUCGAAAUCUCCAGAUAAAAUUGGAUGUUGGUUCUGAUUUGAUAGGGUUUCAGAUUUGUGAUGGUUUGAGGUUAUGUGGGUCUGUUGAUUUUGUUCAGUUGAUAGGGUUUGAGGUUCUGAUUUAGCACAGUGGUGGGUUUUCUCGAAGAACCUUAAAAGCAUGAAUCCUUACUCUGUCGUCCCUGGUACAAAAUUUCAACUUAUUUUUGUAUAUUUCUGAACCAAAUAUAUAUAUAUAUAUAGCAUCUUGAUCUUCUUCUUCACAGGGCAUGUUCAUCGGCUGUGAGGUGGUGGUUAUCUGUCAGUCUCCUGGUGAAAUUCUCAAUCUUUCUCUCUUAAUUAAGUGUUAAUCAUAGCUUUUAAACUGUUUUUCUUUCACUCAUCAGUCAUCACAUCCACACUCAGCUCAUCCUUCUCCAAAUUAAACUCAUUUUCUGGGUUUUUUUUUCUUUCAAAAGGGAAAUCUCAGUCACAAGGACAUGUAAAGUUCAUUACCCGUAAAUUUCAUUUGGUUUUUGUUACAAAUGGAACAGGAAUGGCUUACUUGCAAUUUAGGACUUGUAAUUUGAUAAUAAUAAAAGAAGGACGUCUGUUUAUUGAGAGAUGCCUAGGACUGGUUUGAUGUUUGUCAACGAAAGUAAGCUUUGAAUUUCAGUAGGCGGUGCUACCAAGCUUCGAACUUAAUUUGACCUACCACCAUUUGUUUUACUUCGAAUUAAAACAUGGAGAGAUCCUGCUAUAGAUUUGUAAAUAUUAUGCUAGCAAAGUCUUUUGAGCAUUAUGAUUUUCUUGUCCUGUAGCAGCAUAAUAAUGCUCAUAUAUGAUGCUAACUGUUACAUCCCAGACUCAAUCGUCAGUUAAUUAUAUUAUGAGUGAGUUCGGGAAUAACAUGAACCUAAUAGGUAAAUACCUCAGAAAUUUUCCUUUUGCUUAUUUAAUUGGCAUUGACUUGCAUAUAGUAUUCAUGCAUGUUAGAUGUAUUCUGGAAUAUCUUGUUCUUUUAAAUAGUUGUUGUGAAAAACCUGUAUUCUUGUUCUGAAGAAUGAGCCCUGCAUAUGGCUUUUCCAGAUUUGUAGGAAGUGUUAACUUUUCACAGGGGAUUGAAACUAGAAAACAUUUGAUGCACAUACUUAUAUAUGAUAUGCCUGAUUGCUUAACCCACUGCCUCAAGCUAUUACGGUAUUACCUUAGAUGAGAAUUUUACUUGAAUAGACUUAAGCAGUGCAGGACCCGACCAUUUAAAUACUGUACUUUUGAGCAGUUGCAUUAUAACCCACAUAUCCCAUGUAAAGUUUAUUCUAAACCUUUCAUGAGGUGGAACAAAUUAGUGAAAAAAUCUAUCAUUUUUGCUCACAAAAUACACAUACUGCCACAGUUUAACUAAUUUGAUCCUUAUAUAGUGAUUCUCUUUUAGGGUUUGUUCAGAUGCAAGAAAGGAUUAGUUUAAAUAUUCUUGUAUUGAUAUUAUUGCUCUAAUUACUUAUAUUACUUUGGUUGCUAUUUUAUUAGUUUCAAAUGCAAGAAAUGAUUAGUUUCUAAUGUUAUAUUUGUAUGGUUCAUAAAGUGUAUAGAUGUCGCAGUUGAUCACUCGUCGUCGGAGUGUGUCCAAUGCAGCUCCUGCAUUAUCAGCAUCUAGUGCUCCAGGUGUGAGUGCUCCAAGCGUGAGUGCUCCAUUGAUUGGGGAGCCUACACCCCUUACGGAGGCUACUCCUACGACGUCCCAGGUGCCCGUAUCAUCAACGUCAUCAGUGUCAGUUCAACCCCUCAGUGCACGGCGGCCUCCCUAGCGCCGCCGCGAGCCGGAGCCUUCUGAUCACACUUCCUUGUCCUCCAGAGUCGAGGAUGGGGCCUCCCAACCAGGUAGUUUUUUUUCUAAUUCUCACUACGUUGCAUUUUUUUUUCAUUUCAAAACUAUUACUUUUAUGAUUGUGAAAAUGUGUUGCGGGUUGUGAAUUACUGUUUUAAGGUACUUUUAUGAUUAGGGGAGGUUUUGCCGAAUUUUUUGUACAAAUUUAAGCUUAGGGUUUUUACCAUUAAAGUUUUUUUGGGUAGCUAAAAAAAAACACCAAGGGGCCCAAUCGAAUGUUGAAGGAGCUACAGCUUGUACGUAUGUCUGCCUCCUUGAUCAAGAUUGCGUAUGAUGAGCGACAUUGUGGAGCGGUUACCUCACAGCAGCAUAACAGCGUCGUUAAUUGCUGUGGUUUUAUUAUUAGGAAUUUUUGUCCUAUGCGGUGGGAGAGUUGGGCAAAAAUUCCCGAUGAGACGAGGACCCUGGUGCGAGAUAAUUUGGAGGUUAGUAAAUUAAUUUUUAGCAAAGUCAACAUCUUUCUCUGCUUAAACUAUUGCAGGGCCAUCAUCUUGAUUAAUAAAGUCAAGAUCUUUCUCUCAAUUUCUGUUUGGUUGCUAAGAAAAUGUAGGGGGGAAAGAGAAAUCAGGUGCAUUUCAUUGUUUUGCACCUGAUAGCCGAGUGUUGUUGUGGUGAAUAAUUUGGUCAUGUAUUUUGCACACUCUUCUUCUAUUCAUAAUUGGGAGCAGGUGUGGUCCUUUAGUUUUGGUUAAUUUCAGUGAUUUGCGGCACUGUUCUUUGUUGUCUGAAUGCUUCAUGGGAAGGAAAUUGAAAAAUAAUUCCGUGAACCAAUGUUAAAAUAAUGAUUAUGUUGGUUAGGUGGAAGGAUUACUAUCUUAUCUGAUGCAUAUUUAUGGGUUUUUAGUUUUGGUCUACGUCCUUGCUUAAUGAUUUAUGAUAGUGUUUAAGUGAGUAUGCAUGCCGUCUCUAGUACAUUGCUUUGCUUGUGUUGUGCAUCAGUUAACCUGAUCCAUAGUAUCCACUGGUUGAGCAACAUCGUGAUACCUAAACAUUAUGCCUAUACAUGCUGUUUUGUUUUAAUCAUUAAGUGCUUCUUGGGACUGGCUAUACUAAUCAAAUAAUCUAUCUUUUACCGAGCGAGUCCUAUGUAUGGUUCUUGACUUUGCCUCAAUUUGAUAGUGAAUUGUUUUUAGUUGUUGUCCUGGUUUUAUUUAUUAAAGUGAACUACGAAAGCAGCCUUAAAUAGUCGAGUUAAAUCCUUUGUUGAGAAAUUGUGCUAAGGAAAGGAAUUUGAUAAAUAAUUUGAGUGUUAACCUUAUGGUUUGAACAUUAAAGGUUUGACACUUGCGUGAAGCUGAGGUUUGACACUACUUUCCGAACUAGUAUGAAUGAUCCUAUAUAUAAAAAUUGUUUAUAAUUUUGUAAGCUUCCUGUAUAUUACUGUAACCACUUUCUACACAUUUACUUACCUUCUUAUGAAGUUUUUCUUCGAAUCUGCUAAUAUUUGUUGGGUCAUUUAGAAAUGACAUGCUUACUACAUGCUAUUCUUAGUGGGUUGCAGUUGGACAAGAGUCUCAUAAACAUGUUACACAAUUUGAUUUCUGUAGUUGCAGCAGCAUAAUUUUCAUUCUGUCAGUUUUACUACUUCUGGAUUGUAAGCACAACCAGUUUAAACAGGCAUGAUGUUGUAAAUUACUUUAACGAAGCUCACAUCUUAAGGGGUAAAUUGGUUUUUGGUUGUAAAAAUUAGAGCAUGUCCUUAGUAACAGCUAUUUGGAAGCCAACAUGAUUAACUGACUGUUAAAGUGGGAUAUGAAAUGCUUGUAUGCAAUAGGUUACCUUUAUGGAAUUGCAUUAAAUUGUACAUGCAUGACUUUUUUUUUCUUUUUGGGUAAAGUAUAUAUAAUAGUAGUUGGCUUACAUCCUAACAAAUCAUUUAACAUGCUACUGGAAUAGUUGAUCUUGAGUUACAGUCAGUGCAGUUACAACCUCUCUAUAAAAUGUUGAAUUUCCACCUUUGGUCUCUGUACCGGUGGAAAGAGGCUCACAUGGGAGAUCAAAACCCCACUCUUGAGAUCUUUCAUAAUAUAAACAUUAUAUUGUUUGCUUCCUAACAAAUUAAGAUUCUAGUUAUUAUUGUAAACCGACAAACUUUAUCAGUAUCUUAUAAACUAGUUGUCAAUUAUUCUGAUACAUGGUCAUUUUGUUUGUCAUUUUGUUUUUCAUAUUUGUAGGUCGUUUUUGAAAUGGAGGACAUAUCCCCUGAGGUCAGUGCCUACUUAGAGGAGACCUUUGCAAGCCGGUACAAAGAUUGGAAGAGCACUCUUCACAAGCAUUUUUAGCUAUGGGAAUCUCCGGAGAUUGCUCGCCUACAGGGUUGCCCACUCGAGUAUAAGGAGCGGCGAGAGGAUUGGGAGUGGCUCUGCACACAUUUUACGGAUCCAAAAUUUGUGGUAUGUACAUAAUACUUUAAUAAUAAUUUAUUGUUUUUGUUAUUUCAUUUAAGCUUUUUUUAAUAAUUUCUUUCAAAUAGUCGCACUAACAUGUAUAUUGUAUGUUUAACAGAAUAAAUCUGUUGUUGGCAAGAAAGCUCGGGACUCAAAGACACUUCUCCACCAUUCCAGUUCGAAGCCCUUUUCGUAUAGGGUUGAGGCACGACGUGAGGUAAAAGUAUAUUAAUUUUGAAAUUUUAUACAAUCUAUUUUUUAUUAUUGAUUAAUAAAAUUUUCUUAAUGUUUUUUUUUUCUUUAGAAGGGUUCUAAGUUCCCACAGAUUGACCUGUUCAAGCAUGUUUACGUUCAUCCCAACAAUGAGAAUAGUGACCAGCUUUAUGUAAGUAUAUGUAAUUGUUAUUUUUCUUAUUUUUAUGAAUCGUUCAAAUAUUAUUUAUAUUUUGUUAUUAAACAUAGUGGAAAAGAGCACUGCUAUUCUCCAAGAAGCAACAUCGCAGCUUCCCCCAAAGACCCCGAUCGAGGACGUCAUUGUACCCAAGGAUGCAAAUGUUCAGAUCGUGACUGAGGUCCUGGAUCAGAAGUUCGGUCGUCAUCAUGGUAAGGUUGUUAGGUGUACGGGGAAGGCGGGGGUUCGUGAAACGGGUGCCUCUUCUUCCAGAUUGUCCACAGGAAAGGUCAAUUCCUUGAAGGAGGAAGUGACAACCCUAAGAGGUCAGGUUACGGCCCAGGGCGACCACAUUAGGGCCCAGGACGAGAGGAUGAAUAUGAUUGUUCAGGCCUUAGCGAUGUCUGGCCUCCAAAUCCCGACGAUGCCAACACCUAAUGUUGCUCCACCUUCGACUUCCCAGCCACUUUACCCAGAUGAUACCGAGUAGCAUGAUGUAUUAAACUUAGAAGACUUGUAGUUUUUUAAUUUCUUGUUCGGACAAACGUACAUUUUCAUAUAUUCUAUAAUUAAUUACUUUUUCUUGGUUUAUUAAUUAUUGUUUAGAAUUUAAUUAUAAUAUUUAUUAAAAAUUAAAUAAAAAAAUAUAAAUGACAAAAAAAAAGGUUUGCGCUACGCAGUGCCUACCUACGUUGCGCAAAGCUACUUUGCGUGACGCAGGACCUACGUCGCGCAAAUUUACUUUGAGCGACGCAGUGCCUACGCGACAUAGGACCGUCGUCGCGCAAAGUCAAAAAUACGUCGCCCAAAAAUUAGCUAAACGAACCUUCAUCGCGCAAGAACCGUCGCGCGAAGGUAGUGAAGGAAGGGUUUGUGCGACACAGUGCCUACCUACGUCGCGCAAAGCUACUUUGCGUGACGCAGGACCUAUGUCGCAUAAAUUUACUUUGAGCAACGCAGUGCCUACCUACGUCGCGUAAAGCUACUUUGAGCGACGCAGGACCUACAUCGCGCAAAGUAGCUUUGCGCGACGUAGGUAGGCACUGCGUCGUACAAACCCUUCCUUCACUGCCUUCGCACGACGGUUCUUGGGCGAUGAAGGUUCGUUUAGCUAAUUUUUGGGCGACAUAUUUUUGACUUUGCGCGACGACGGUCCUAUGUCGCGCAAAGUCUUUUUUGUACUAGUGAUUGCUAUAAAGUCAUGCCCUUCGGCCUAAAAAAUGCAGGAGCGACUUAUCGGAGACUGGUCAAUUCAAUGUUUGCCGAACAGAUUGGGAAGAGGAUGGAAGUUUAUGUUGAUGAUAUGCUAGUCAAGAGCAAACAUGCUAACCAACACAUCACCAACCUAUCUGAAACUUUCACCAUUCUGAAGAGGUAUCGAAUGAGGUUAAACCCCAACAAAUGUGCCUUCGACGUAGGCUCUGGCAAAUUCUUAGGCUUCAUGAUAAGCCAACGAGGUAUUGAGGCUAAUCCCGAGAAGAUCAAAGCAAUCAUCGACAUGAAGGAACCGGUAACCUCAAAAGACAUCCAAAGCCUUACUGGCAAGGUGGCAGCCUUAACUAGGUUCAUCUCUAAGGCCACAGACAGAUGUGCUCCUUUCUUCAAAGCAUUUAAGGGAAGUAAAAAGUACAUUACAUGGACUGAUGAAUGUGCUGAGGUAUUCAAGAACCUCAAAGACUACAUGAGUAAAGCCCCUCUGCUCUCCAAACCUGAGGUUGGUGACACUCUCAUUAUCUAUCUGUCGGUAUCAGCUUCAGUAGUAAGUUCCGUUCUCAUUCGAAAAGAUGGUAAUGUCGAACGGCCUGUCUACUACGCUAGCAAGGCCUUACAAGAUGAGGAGACACGAUACUCCAACAUUGAGAAAUUAGCUCUAACAUUGGUCGUGUCUGCUCGAAAACUUCGCCCUUACUUCCAAGCACACUCCAUCAUCGUGCUUACCAAUCAUCAUCUUCGACAAAUACUCCAAAGUCCUGACACUUCUGGGCGAAUGAUCAAAUGGGCAAUAGCAUUGGGUGAGUUUGACAUCUCCUACUAACCAAAGCCAGCUGAGAAGGGCCAAGCAGUGGCAGACUUCAUCGCCGACUUCACAUAUCCUAUUAACAUUGUUUCUACGCCCAAAGAAGUGGUUUCAUUACCCUCGGAAGCUCAGAAAACAGAACCAACAGCCCCAGCAUGGAGACUAUAUGUUGAUGGCUCAUCCAACCAACAGGGUUGUGAAGCAGGACUAGUCCUUACGACCCCUGACAAAGUGGCAAUGAAGUAUGCUAUUCGUUUCAAAGUUAAGGAGUCGAACAAUGAGGCCGACUAUGAAGCCCUCCUAGCAGGCUUAUGUUUGGCCAAACACCUUGGGGUUAAACGAAUUGAUAUCUUCAGUGACUCUCAAUUGGUGGUUAACCAAGUCACCAACAACUUUGACGCUAAGGAUAGCUCAAUGGCAGCAUAUAUGGCACAAACACAAUUGUUGCUCAAGCACUUCCAGUACCAGAUCACCCAAAUUCCUCGAGCGGCAAAUAGUCAUACAAAUGCUUUGGCUCACCUCGCCUCAGCGGUGGAAGACAAGAUUGGGAGAAGAAUUCAGGUCGAAUUGUUGGCAGCACCAAGCACCAUGGUUGCGGAAGUGUGCAACUUACAACAGGGGGAUAGUUGGAUUACCCCGAUUUAUAGAUUCCUUACUCAUGGCACCCUUCCAAAUGACAAAGUCCAAGCUAAGCAAAUUCGAUACAAGGCUACCUGUUACUUGAUCAUUAAUGAUCAACUUUACAAGUGGGGUUUUAACCUACCAUACCUAAGAUGCCUUACGCCCGUAGAGGCGAAAACUGUCCUUCGGGAAAUACAUGAAGGAGUCUGCAGAGAUCAUGCUAGAUCUCGAUCCCUAGCACACAAGGCUUUUUGCCAAGGAUUACUGGCCGACACUCUACCAAGAUGCCAUCAAAAUAUCCCGCUCAUGUGAUAAGUGUCAACGCAACGUAAUUAUUCCUCACUCCCCUCCCGAGCAGCUCACUCCUAUGAUCAGCCCUUGGCCUUUCGCCCAAUGGGGACUUGAUUUGAUUGGCCCAAUGCCUGCAGGGAAGGGCAAAGUUCGCUAUGCAAUCGUUGCAGUUGACUACUUCACAAAGUGGGCCGAAGUAGAACCCUUAGCAACCAUUACUAAGGCAAAAAUAGAAGACUUCGUAUGAAAGAACAUCCUUUGCAGAUUCGGCAUUCCCGAUGCGAUAGUCAUUGACAACGGGCGACAGUUCAACAACAAUAAGUUCAGGAUGUUCUGCUCUAAGUUCAACAUCAACUUAUGUUUUGCCUCCCCAGCUCAUCCCCAGUCUAAUGGACAAGUUGAAGCUAUCAACAAAAUAAUCAAGCGAACUUUGAAAACCAACUUAGACAAGGCUAAAGGUUGUUGGCCAGAAUUUGUACCCCAAGUUUUUUGGUCAUACCGCACUUCGUAUUAGACAUCAACACGAGAAACCCCAUUCUCACUUGCCUUUGGUACAGAGGCAGUUGUCCCAGUUGAGCUUGAAUAAGCAACAUUUCGAGUCCAGAACUACGUGCAAGGCGAAAAUGACAAACAACUUACCCUCAACUUAGAUCUAGUUGAGGAACACAGAAACCAGGCUCACUUGAGGAAUGUCGCCUACAAGCAGCGCAUCUCCAACUACUAUGACUCAAGGGUCAAACCUCGUUCUUUCAAAGUGGAGGAUUGGGUAUUAAAGAAAAGAUUACUCUGCGACAGAGUCCCGAGUGAAGGAACACUUAGUCCAAACUGGGAUUGACAGUUUAAAGUUGUUGGCAUCAGUCACCCUGGCUCCUACAAGCUUAGAAGCUCCGAUGGCAAGACCAUUGGCCAUCCAUGGAACGCUGAUCACUUGAAGUACUAUUACAAGUAAACUCACAUUGUACAAGUGUUAAGCUUCAACAGUUCAUCAUCCUAUGUAACGAAGACUAUUUGGCAUGAAUUCAAUAAAGAGGUGAUUUAGAUAACUCGGUCCUAAUCCUCUUACAUUCCUAGCAAUGAAACACUCGGGCCCAAAGCUUCAACUCCAAAGCUUCACUUACAAAAGCUUCAACACAAAAGCUUUACCCACAAAAGCUUCAUCAUUUGAGGACAACUACGAAUUCUCAAAAGCUUUACACUAUCUUGAUCAAGAUAGUGUGAAGCAAAAUCAAUUCAUGGUACCCAACAAAAGCUUCAACUCCAAAGCUUCACCUACAAAAACUUCAACAUAAAAGCUUCACCCAUAAAAGCUUCAACACAAAAGCUUCACCCAUAAAAGCUUGACCCACAAAAGCUUGACCCACAAAAGCUUCACCUACAAAAGCUUCACCCACAAAAGUUUGACCCACAAAAGCUUGACCCACAAAAGCUUGACCCAUAAAAGCUUGACCCACAAAAGCUUGACCCACAAAAGCUUGACCUACAAAAGCUUCAACACAAAAGCUUCACCUACAAAAGCUUCACACUAUCUUGAUCAAUUCAUGGUGCCCAACAAAGCUUUAACCUCAAAGCUUCACCUACAAAGCUUCAACACCAAAGCUUCACCUACAAAGCUUAAAAAUAUAUAUAUAUUUUUUCAGAAAUUCAAAAAUUCAAAAAUUCAAAAAAAAAAAUUCAAAAAUUCGAAGAAAAAAAAUUCGCCUAGGUCUCCUCUUCUUUAGGCCUAACAACUUUCAUAACAAAUAUAUAUAUGAAUGAGGAGUUUUGGGCUACCAUUUAAAAAGGAAAUGCCACAUUCGUCAACUCCCUCGACCGGAGACUUGGGGGACACCUACCAUAUGCUACUGCACCUUGAUAUUCAGAAGUCUCACGACCACUCAGUGACUUGGAUUUUUCAAGUCUCCAACCGAGAAGUUUUCCUCACUCGGGAAAUUAAGGAAGUACUACCUCAACAUACAUGUUUCACUCUCAAAGCUUCAACAUACAAGCUUCAACAAAAGAAAAAAUUCAAAGAACUUAGUGAAGAAGGCCUUGGUGUAUUCAACACAAUACGUUGAAAUGAAGCAAAGCUUGUUUAUUGAUAUCUUCGAUAAGUUACAAAUAUGUAUAUAUACAUGAAUCAAAAUAAACAAACAAGAGAGAGCCUUCACAAAGGUUGCUCAUGAGAAGUCUCAGCAGUCGGCAGAGCCCCAGAAAGAGUAGGCAUCAGAAGGUGAUCAUUCGGAGCCUCAGUACUGGUAGAGAACCCUAGAAGGAGGAGGCACCAAAGGUUGAUCAUUCGGAGCUUCAUUACGUGGUACAGCCCCAGAAGACAAAGGCAAUAAAUGCCUUUGGAACAAACCCACAAACCUCUGAUUAUCAAGCAAAAUCUGACCAUCAGAUUCCUGCAGCUGGUCAAGCUUCAUCUUCAUGUUUGUAGUAUAGUCAUGUGCGAGCCUGUGCAACUGUUUAUUCUCAUGCUUGAGCCCUCUGAUCUCCUGUUUGAGACUUAUCACUUCAGCCGCCAAUUAUUCAACUUGGCGGGUUCAAGCAAAUAGGUGUUGGGCCAUAUUAGACACAGAACCUGCACACUGAACACUGAGAGCCAGAGAAUCCUUAACAGUCAACUCAUCAGACCGUUUGGAAAUUAGUCUGUUAUCUUUAAGAGUGAGAAGGUUCUUGGCCACCACCGCAGCGGUUAUAUCAUUCUUCAUCACAGAGUCCCCAACGGUAAGAGGACCAGUAAGGGAUAAGAAGAAUGGGCGCCAUAUGUUGUCUUGAGAAGGCAUGGCUGCCUCUUCACCAAAGUUCAAGUCAAAACGACGGUCGGAAGGGCCAUACAUUCUCAGAAAUGAUGAAGGAGAAAUGAGGUGCAAUAAAUCUCUGAAGUAAGGGGAAAAUUCAUACAAGCAAUAACUCUCUGAAUGUACUUCUUGCACACAAUUGGUGCCCUUAUAAAAGAAAGGGUAACAAGGCCGUUGGUUCAAAAAUCGAAAAGGCAUCACUCUUCGGAUUUCAAAGAGACACCACUCUCCACACGCAACAUCAGCUCCUCGGGUACCACAGAUAACUUUGCCAAAGAUCUCUGACAAAGUUUAGACAUAUAAAUUUUGAAGGUCCAGCUACCCUACUAUUACUCACAAGGGUAAAGGAACAACACCACUACUUGAUAACUGAAGAGUCCCUAUGUGUGUCAACCUCCGUGCUCCGUGGCAAGGUAGAUUGGCAAAAAUGCCCAACCUUUACUCAUAUUCGAGAAAACACUCCCAAUAAGAUUACUUUCUAAAAAA